UGACGCACUUCCAGAAGCUGCAGUUUAGCCCCGUCUUUUCCAUCUCCUACUCAUUCCGCCUUCCGGAUCCAGCCAGGCGUCGUUGGUACCCUGGAUCCUGUCCCUGAGCCAAACAGUGUCCCUCGAGGUCAGCGACAGCUUCUUCUGAGUUCACUGCAGUCCAACCGGCUCCCUACCCGCCGCCAUUAUGAACAUCCGCAACGCUCGGCCGGACGACCUGAUAAACAUGCAGCACUGCAACCUCCUUUGCCUUCCUGAGAACUACCAGAUGAAAUACUAUUUAUAUCAUGGCCUUUCCUGGCCCCAGCUUUCUUACAUCGCUGAGGAUGAGGACGGGAAGAUUGUGGGCUAUGUCCUGGCCAAAAUGGAGGAGGACCCAGAUGAUGUCCCGCAUGGCCAUAUCACCUCACUGGCCGUGAAGCGUUCACACCGGCGCCUCGGCCUGGCCCAGAAGCUGAUUGACCAGGCCUCCAGGGCCAUGAUAGAGAAUUUUAACGCCAAAUAUGUGUCUCUGCAUGUCAGGAAGAGUAACCGGGCAGCCUUGCACCUCUAUUCUAACACCCUUAACUUUCAGGUUAGUGAGGUGGAACCUAAAUACUAUGCAGAUGGGGAAGAUGCUUAUGCUAUGAAGCGGGAUCUCUCGCAGAUGGCAGAUGAGCUGAGACGACAAGUGGAGCUGAAGAAGGGCGAGUAUGUGGACCUAGGCUCCAGGGAGAACCAGGAGACCCAGGGCUGCACACUUUCUGGUUCUGAAGAGGCCUGUCAGCAGAAGAACCCAGCUACCGAAGAUAGUGGCAGUGACUGCAAAGAACCUAACGAGUCUGUGGAGAGCACCGAAGUCCAGGACAGCUCAGAAAACUCAGAUUCUACCUCCUAGAGCAUGCUUAAGUUAUGGAGGCCAGGAAAUUCAAUAUCAAGGUACUGGCACCUUGCAAGAGCUUUCUUGCUGCAUCAUCCCAUGAAGGUAAGAAGGUGAGAGAGGGUUUGAGAGCAAUAGAGACAAGGGGUCAAACUCAGCAUUUUAUCAGAAAACCACUUCUGAGAUAACUAAUCCAUUCCUGAGAUAAUGGCAUUAAUCCAUUCAGGAGGGCAGAGGCCUCAUAAUCUAAUUACCUCUUAAAAGUCCCACCUCCUAACACUGUUGCACUGGGAAUUUAGUUUUCAACAUGUGAAUUUUGAGGGGCACAUUUAAACCAUAGCAUACUUUUAAAAAGGAAGUUUGUGGAGGAGAAAAUAAUGGACCAGUUGGUCACUUGAUUUUUCAUUUGUUCAUUAUCAUAUUCUCAUUAGAUUGAGUUCAAGUCAUUUUAUAUAUUUUCUGGGUUGACCACAUAAACAUAACUAGCAUUAUGUUUACAUUAUGUUCAUUACCACAUUCUCAUUAGAUUGAGUUUAACUCAUUUUAUAUAUUUUCUGGGUUGAACAUGUAAACAUAACUAGCAUAGUGGUUAAGAACAUAGACUUGAACCGGAUUUGCCAAUUUUGAACAAUGCUUCUGCCAUAUAAGCUUGAGUAAUUUUCUUCACUUCUGUCCUCAUUUCCUAAUGGUAUCAACUUCCAAAUGCUUUGGGAGAAUUAAUUGAAUUGAUAUAGGUAAAGAUUUUAGAGCAGUGUCUGUCCAUUGUAAGCAUCUCUAAGAUUCUGCCAUUCCUAUAUUAUUAUUCCUUAAAAUAAUAUUAGGAUUCUCUACUGUAACUUUCUGCUUCACAUACAAUUUUAGUAGAGUGAAGAAAAGUUGGCAGUAUCAAAUGAGGGAAGAGUCUUGCCCUUUGUUUUUAAACAUCAAGGUAACCAUUUUUAAAAAUAUCUAAUUUCUGUGACAUGACCAGUCACCAAAAUUUCUCUUUCCUGUGGUUCAAAUGAGGUCUACUUCAGUAAUCACAAUUUAACAAGAAUCAACAGAGGAAAUGCAAAACACAGUGCUAAAGAAAUCUUUCACUCUUAUAUACACAUCAGCUUAUACUGAGUAUCAAUAUUUCAAUUCUUUUGAAAAACCAUACUUUUCCCUUGUUUCAUCAAUAUAGAUAACAAAUAUAAUUUAUUUUGUCUAUUUAAAAAGAAGAAAAACAGUACAUAACCAGAGAAAUUUAACACUGCCCUGAAAUCUAAACAUAGCAUCUUUUUAAUCAAAAACAACAGGUUAAUCCUGGCUUUGGAAUCAGAAAAAUCAUAUUAAAAAUGCAUACAGUGUGAUUCAUUCAAAACCUGAAUAUAGCAACAUACAAUCUUAUAAAGCCACAGAGAUUUUUAGAUCAAAGCAAAAAAAGGUAAAUCAAACCUGAAAUGAAUGGAUUAACAGAAAUGGGAGCGUUACCGUAAUAUUCCUUUAUAUUCAGUAACAGAGAAGCAGAUUUUGUCAAAUCUUGCUUUCUAAUUCCCAUCUGGAAAAGCCUUGCUCUGGAAGUGAACAGGUUUGAAGGAAUGUCUUUGACAUCUGUAAAGUUAAAAAGCAUCAAUAAUUGGAAUGGGCUUAAUCCCUCAUUCAACAGCAGGUACUUUAUACACAAUCAUAAGAAGUGAUGAAAGUCAGGCACAGAUGUACAAAUUGUUAGAUUUAAUCAGAUUGGUGAUCUACUCCUGGUUUAGUCUAUUCUGUUUUAGCUUCUACUUAACCUGAGUUAAUGGAAGGAGAUGGUCAUAUGUAUAAGGAACAAAUCCAGGUCAAAAAUCAUUUUGGAGAUGUCGGGUGACAACUGAGCUUAACCCAUGAACCACCAGGAACAUCGAAAACAUGUUUCACAGGGUAAUUUUGUGAGAAUAAAAAAACGGAGAUAAUUGAUGUAAAGCACAUAGGACUAUUGCAAAGUUAUCACUGAUGCAUGAGAGAAAGUCUUAAGAGGAUAUACACCAAAAUAUCAGCAUCUUAUAUCAGCAUGUCUGGGGGAAAAAAACACCCCAUUCUGUAAUGACACGUCAACGGGGAAAGAAGGAAAACAGCAAACAAUUCUGAUUUGCUGACCUAUCAAAAGCUGCUGAGAGAAGAGAAUCUCCUGCACCAGUUCCCUCUGCUGUCAGUGUCUCCUUCCCAAACCAGCUGCUUAGCAGGUGAGGGGCCUUCUCAUAGCAGACACUGGCUUUGCUGUGUUUAAAAUAAUGAUGCAAGGUUUGAGAAGCAAGUCAUUCAAGUCACACCUCAUUGUUUUGAGCCUGACAUACAAAAUAAAAUCCAAAACCCAAAGUUCAACUCAAUGUCAACCAAAGAUGGAAUACUGAGUGCAAUUAAAAUAUUUAACAAUUUACCAAAUUACAAUCUGGAAAGAGAAAAAAAUGUGGGAAAAUACUAGUCUAUUAAGAUUCUGUUUAGUUGCCACUUCAGCUGCCCAACAGUUAAAAUAUAAAUCAGUGUGAUAAUCUGAGAGCAGCAGUUUUAAUCCUCAAUUCCAGGGGUGCUAUCUUUCUCUCUCCCUCAUACACAGACACACACACACACGCACACACAGACACACACACACAUGCCAGUCAUUCAGCCUGAACAGAAAAAUUCAGGUGUCACAUUUCUUGAUUCAAGAGCUGUGUUAAGCGGUUGUAAAGCUGCUAUAAUUUACAGCAAAGAAUAAAGCUAACCUAAGAAACCUCAGCCUCAAUUUGCUAAAACUUAUUACACCUCAUUGGCCACUGAAUAGCCAAAAGAAGAAAAAAGAAAAAAAACUUAUCUGAAUAAGAGACUUGACUAGUAUUAGCCUAGUGAGAAAUGAUCGGCUUAAAAUUGCUCUGGCUACAUCAUAGGUUCAGAUUAACACUAUUUAUGAUGUUAUGAUUUCCUAUUUCCUGAGUUAUAUAAAAGCCAAAGGAGCUACUGUAACAGUACUAAUGAGUCGAUAGAUGUUUUCAGAUGUCUGUUUGACUCCUGAGUCUAAUUAAAUGUCUUAAUAUGACAUAUGUGGUUCUCCACUGAAUAUCCCAGCUGUGGAAUUAAUAUGUUACAAAAAUAUAUAUACACAAUUAUCUCAAACUACAGUGAGUUUGAGGCUAUAAAUAUACCAGUUAUAUUGAAUUCACUAACAUAGCACUUUGUAAAAUGCUAUAAACAUGCAAAAUAAAUGACCAAGAAUGUGUGACUAUUAAUAACUAGCCUCUUGUUAAUGACACCUCAAAGCCUUGUGAAGGAGAGUGCACUACUUGGAUUUUGUACCAUACUAUCUUUAAUCCAUAUUUUUCAUGAGAGUUCUUUUGUAACAACAUGUAUUCUCAUGUGCCAAAAUGUUUUGGGGGUUAAUGCUAAAGAUGGGGUAAAGAACUCAUGGUCAAAAUGUUAUGAUGUCAAAGAAAAGUAACAAAUGGCUGGUAUACCCUAAAUUAACAACCCAGUCCAAAAUAAUUCUAACAGUCUCAGAAAUUAUUCUAUAAUGGUAAAUUUGGUGAGGCGAAAUAUUUGCCCACAACUUUACAAAACUUCCAUUACCUAUUAGCAGAUAUGUAACACAUAUUCUUUGUAGUACAAAUCCCUUAUUGACAUUGAUUAUUAUACUAGAAAAGAAUUAAAAUUUUAAAAAUUUACUUGAGUGAGUCACAGCAUUUUUACAUCUGUAUCAAUCAAUUGUCAUCUCAUGUGACUGGAGAUUCUCAGAUCUGAUAACUUUCCAAAAUAUGAUUCAGAUACUAAAAAUUACAUUCAUGACUAAAGAAGUAGGAGACAUUCAAAGAUAUUAAACAGAAAUCUAUAGUAUAUAUAUGCUUUAAAACAUCUAUAAACACUUUCUUUAAGAAAUACGUAGAAAAAACAAGGCAAAUAUCCCUUUACCUUAUUUGCCCACCUCACCCUCAUUGCUCAAGUAUUUAAAAAGUUGACGUGUAUUUGCUUUCUAUUUUAGAUUGCUUACUGUGUCACAAUUUGUAUAUUAGUAGAGUUUACUCAUUUAUGAAAAAAUAAAGUGUGUAUAUUAGGAUCAUUUUAAGUAAAAUUUAAAAGUAAGCAUUUCUAGCCAUUGUGGAUUUAUAGAAUUCUCUUAAAUUCAGUUGAUCUCCGAAUUAUUAAGGAAAAUGAGCAACAUAUGUUCUGCUUAGAACAUAGUACAAUUUCAGAGUAAAAUCAGAAGACUGUUGAAUAGAAAGAGGACAAAGGUUAAUGUUGGGAAGCAGAAAUCACUUCUCACAAGUCAUUGGCUUAUAAAAAUAAAAUGCUUAUCCUUUUCUGUUUUUCAAGGUGUAAUUGUCCAUCCUUGAUACUACUCAUGACUGUUAUAUAAAACACUGUUGGGAGAAAAAAAAUGGAAUAUUUGAAUGCCCAAGGAUGUGUGCAGUAUCAUUCUACCAAAAGCUUCUAACAUUGAAGUGUUUGUAUUAUUAACACCCUCUAAAAUUUACUGUAGUGACUAAUUUGCUAUAGUCACUGGACAGAAAUCAUGUAGCAUGAUUUACACUACUACAAAAUCUUUACUAACUUGGGCACUGUAAAUUUGAUCAUUUAAUAAUUUAGUACUAAAUCUCUUCUUUUAAUGAAAGGAGAGCAAUCAUGAUUAUUAUUAAUGCUAUUUUUAGUUAGUUUUAAAUUAUGCCAUUAUGAUAAAACAUUCUACUUAAUUUAAUAUUUCAACUCAAAAUUAAUUUCCAAAGUCUUUAAUUCUAGCCAGUCUGCAUAAUUACAAGGUAUUGUAAUACUCUUGCAAUUGAAUUUCAAAAGUGCAUUUAACAACAGAGAAUGUUAAGUGAAUAUAGCUUAGAGUUGGUCUUGGUUUUUCAGACUUCCAACAGACAGCAUUCUAAAUCAGAAAUCAUUUUUUUUAAUUUUCAAAGAAAGGAUAAACAAUAGAUGAAGCCAUGUAUAUCUGUUUCUGAUAAAAGCACUGUAUAGUUUUAAAGUAUUGUGAUGAAUUUUCUGUGUGUGUUCUUUCAGAACAGUGCUUUUGAAAAAUAAACAACAGUUAACAUGUCAGCUCAGAAUGCUCUCAUGUGUCACCUUCAUCCAAUUUAUGGUAUCUGAUGAAUAGAAAAGUGAAUUUCGACAUUUUGUAGAAAGCAGUAGUUAUUUCACAUGCUGACAGGUGUUAGAGUAAAAGCAACUUGCAACUUAAGACCACCAUCUACUGGUUUUGCCCAAUGCUGCAAAAGCUACAGUGUAGUAUGUAAUUGAUUUUAAAUGCACCCCACUAAAGAAUUUACCAACAUUCUUCUUCCCUAUAUAUGUUUGAAGUUAUCAUAUACCUUUAGAGAUUUUGCGCUUGUGUGUGUGAUUUGUUCCAUUAUUUUCUCAAUUACCCAGGUUUGAAAUUCUGCCUUUGCCUUUUCUGAUUAAAAUAGAAGCAAUCAAACAAAAAUUCCCACAUCUUACCCACACAAAAGAUAUCCAUCUACCUGCAUUACUACUUGUAUCUGUGCCUUUGUUGCUGUUUCAAUAGAAGGUGUGGUCCUCCUAUCAAAGCCCAGGUCUCCACUGUACACUUCACCAUGUUUCAGCAUUCUAAAAAAACACCUUGCUAAUUAUGACAUUAUUAACUUUUCCUCCUCCAUUUGAUCAUUUUCAUUAGCAUUAAAAAAAACUUUAGGUUUGUGCACUAAAAAACAACUUCUUGAAAUUUUACUCACUACUAUCCCUUUAUACUAUCCCCUUCACAGUGAAAAUGAUUGAACAAGGGUGUCUAUAGUCUCCUCUAUUGCAUGACCUUCUAUUUUCUCCUCAACUAAUUCCUGAAAGCUUUCUGCCGCCUCACCUUCCACUGAGAUUGCCCCUGAGAUCACCAAUGAUUUACAUGUUUUCACAUCCAACAGUAACACUUUUGCUCUUAUAUUUAGAGACUUCUCAGCAGCAUUGGCCAUAGUGACCCUUUCUGUCCUCAAAAGCCCCCCUGGAUUUGGCUCGCAGAUACUUCACUCUGCUGGUUUUUCCUCCAUUUUCACUGGCCAUUUCUCUGCUGGCUUCAUAUUCUCUGCUAGAUUUGAAAUAUUAGAAAGUCUCAGACUUUGUACCUGGUGAUCCUUUUCUUCUUUUCUCUACACCCCCUCACUAGGCAAUUUCAUCCAGUUCCAAGGAUUUAAAGAAUUCCAAAUUUCCAGUGAUCUCAAAUUUAUUUCUCUAGCCUUGAACCUCACCGGAAAUAUGCUUUUCCAUCCAAUUGACCUGUUGACAUUUCCACUGGAAUUUCUAAUAUGCAACUCAUUAACAUGCCUCAAACAAAACUUCUUAGAUUUGCAAAACUUACCUUUCUCCUGUUUUUAACAAACAUCAAUAGAUCACAAUUUGUCUGGUUGCUCUAGGAAACUUAUCAACAUAUCACAAUCUAUCUAGUUGAUCUAGGAAAUAUUUAGAAAACCUUUCCUUUCCUCUCUUUGCUGUAUCUAACCUAUUAGCAAGUCUCGUCAAUUCUACCUCUGAAAUAUUUCCCAAAUCCAUGAACUCCGUCUCAGUAGCUACAAACUGGACUUCUACUAUUGUCUCCUAACAUAUUGCUUGGCUUUUACUCCUGUCAUACUGUAAUUCCUUUUUCACACAUUGGUCAGAAUCAUUUUUUAAAAAACAGAAUUUGUAUUAUGCAACUGUUCUAUUUAAAACUUCCAAAUUAAAACCCCUAAGCACCUUGUAUAAUGUGGGCUGUUUACUUCUCUGUCUUUACCUCUUUAUACUCUCUUCCCGCCACAUCCCAGACACACUUGUCUUACUUGGGUUCUUCAAGCAUGCCAAACUAAUUCUUCUCUUGGGGCUUUGUGCUUGCUGGUCCCCAUGCCAGUAUACUUUGUCCCUAGAUCUUUUGAAGGUUGGUUAAUUCCCAUGAUUCAGAUCUCUGAAAGAAGUUUUGUUUCUUUCAUGACUGUCCUGCCAUCCUGGAAAAAUGUAAUUUCUUGAUUUUCAAGCUCCUCAAAUCACUUCAUUCACUCAUUCAACAAAUAUUUGUUAAAAGGACUAGAGCUUGUCCAACCUGCCUUAUUUUGUUGUUGUUCUGUUUUGUUUUGUUUUGUUUUGUUUUGUUUUAGGCUACUGGAAGCCUGCAGCCAUGGUUUUUAGUUUCUGUCUCUAGUGAUAAAUGGAAAAGAGGAUGAGGAAGGAGCUUUACUGGCCUAAUCAGAAACAGAAACUAAGAACCCAUGACUGUAUUCUCUCCCUUGGAUGCCCUGAUAGGCUCUGUGGCAGAUAAUAGGGAUAUAACUCCUCAGUGUGUACAAGCUAAUUCCUCAGAGAGUCAGAGAGGACUUCCUUGGGUACCGUCUAGGUAAUCAGAUCCUAAUCAGUCUCUAUCACCUUAUUCUUUUAUUUUCAUCAUAGCACUUAUGGCUACCUGAUAUUUUUUAUUUGUUUAUUAGUCACUUGUCUUGUAGUAGAAUAUAGACUUGACAACAAAGAACUCAUCUGCCUUGUUCACUGUGUAUCACUAGCAGAUAUAACAGUGCACGAUAUUUGGUGGGUACUCAAUAAAUUUUGAUGAAAUUAAUGGACAAAUUACUGGCUAAGUAAUUAAUGGGCCUUAAUUUUAUCCUGUAUCAGCCCAUGUCCAGUGAGGCCAAGUCCUGACAACCCUUACUUUAUGAUAUUUAUUUAUUUAUCUAUGCCUCAUCAUUUCUACAGUUGGAUUCUUUGCUGCCUCCUUAAGAAUGUUUUCUCCAUCUGCAUAGCCAGAGUAUGGAGGGAGACAGAGAAGUAGUUAAAUGCUUCUCAGAUUGGCUACAUUUGUCAUUUGCUGUUUGACUGGUAAAUUGCUUGGUAAGUCUGUGCCUUGGUUUCCUCAUCUUUAAACUGGGGACAGGAUAAUGAUGGUACCCAGCUGUACACAGUUGUGAGGAAAUGGUGAGUUAAUUGCUAAGAAACAUUUGUACCAGAGCCUGGAAAGCACUGGUAAGUGUUAGUUUUCCUAAAACACUGUUAUUUUAUCACUCCCUCACUCAUCACACCCUGCAACCCUGCAUGCAAAAACUUUCAAGACUUCCCAAUGCCCCCAAAAUUGAGGCUUCAAUCUGUCUUUCAAGGCUUUCCUCAACACAGUCCCUAUAUAACUUUCUUUAUGUUACUUUUCUUCAUUCCAUCAUAUGAACACUUCCACUCAGUGCAGUCCAUGCACACACAUUUUAUUUAAGUUAACAUUAAUUAAAUACGUGUCUUAGAGCCAGGCAUUGUUGUUGGAUACACACAAAAAUGAAAGAUGCCCCCUUUGUUCUCAAACUCCACAGUUUCCUAAAGCACCUAUAUCAGUCAGGAUUCGCCAGGCACAAGAAAAAGAAACUGACUCUCAGAAACCUAAUAGGAAAAAAAUGUAUCAAAAUGUAUCAGAAUUGAAGGAAAAGCUGGAGCAAAAAAACAAACAAAAAAACCAUGACAGACUCAGAAAGGGUAACAACCAAAGUAAAACCUAAGUUACAGGAACUAAAAAAUAGUAUCAUCAGGGUCCUAACACCAGGAAGAGUGAGUGUAAACAACUUUUUGGCCUUGUGUCACUCUUUGUCUCAAGAGCCAAAUCCCAGGGAAAUAACAUUUAAUUAACCUGGAUCAGGCUGCAUGCCCACUCUUUGGUUAUGGUAGGGCACAGUAAUCCCUAGUCUUACCAAAAUGGUAUCUGGAGGAAGAACUGUGCCUCUUUUCCAGGCACAGUUUGAACCUUAAUGCCUCUCUAAAGUCUUCACAAUCUGCCAGAUUUCAAUCAUCACUGUCUUCUGGAAACUUUUAUGGAAGUUAUUAAUUUGCACUGACAUUCAGCACUUGGCAUUACUUUCUUGCAUUGUAAUUUUUAUAUUUUAUGUAAACAUUAUAAAUCCUAAAAAACAAACAAACAAAAACAAAACAAAGAGAGAGACAGAGAUUCAGUUGCUCCUUGUGGAGCAGCAUUUUUUUUUUUUCCUGAGAUGGAGUCUAACUCUGUCACUAGGCUGGAAUGCAGUGGCGGGAUCUCAGCUCACUGCAACCUCCGCCUUCUGUGUUUAAGUGAUUCUCCUGCCUCAGCCUCCCAAGUAGCUAGGAUUACAGGUGCCUGCCACCACGCGCAGCUAAAUUUUGUAUCUUUAGUAGAGACGGGGUUUCACUGUGUUGGCCAGGCUGGUCUCAAACUCCUGACCUUGUGAUCUGCCCACCUCAGCCUCCCAAAGUGCUGGGAUUACAAGUGUGAGCCGCCAUGUGGCCAGCCAAACAGCAUUAUUAUACCUUCGGAACUUUUCUUUGUGUAUCCCAAGAGUAAAAUGGAAAAACUUCCAUGAAUGCUGUCCAUGCUGGUUAUCUGAGGGGAAAUAGGCACAUCUCCCUGAACAGAUCUUUUAUUUCUGCUGUUUUCUUCAAGAGCACCCCCUUUUCUCCCAUCCUCCCAGUAGCACCAGGGAUUAGAUUAAGGCAGAGAGGCUGGGGUAUCGCUUAGUAUCUAUGAAUCCUGGGUUGCAUCCUCUAAGGCUUGCAAACUAACACCUUAGGAAGUAGUGAUGUUCUGCAAUAAUCAGGUAUAAAACAGGUUUACAACAUAUUUUCACCUUUAUUAACUCAUUUAACCAUGUCAUUUUACCAAAAUAUCCUAUCUGGCACACACAGAGGGGCUCAGAGGCUCUGGCCAGCCCUGGGUUCACAAAGCCAAGAUUGGUUAUUAGAGAAGCAAAGCAAUGACCCAGAUUUGAGAUACCCCCAUUAUCACCUUCCAAGCUACUAUACAAUUAGCUUAGUUAUCAUCUUUGCUUUUUAUUUUCUGUUACUCCACUAGAAUAUAAGCUUCUCAAGAUCAGAGAUCUUUAUGCUUUCUUGUCUGAUGUAUCCCAAAUUUCUAGUUGAGUUUAGCAGAAUACUUAAAAGAACCAGUCAGACUUGCAUUAUAACCCCAGCUCCACCACCUGCAAACUGUGACCUAAAGCAAGUUACAUACUUACUUUGGGCCUCAGUUUCUCAUUUCCUAAAUGAAAAUAAAAUAGUGCUCAUCUCCUAGAUUUGUUAGGAUUAAAUGAGAAAAUGUAUGCAAAACACUUAGUAUAGUGCCUGGCCCAUAGACAGUGACUGAUAUAUAUUACUAUGAUAGUAUUUAUAUUUUUAUUGGGGACCUACUGCUAUGAUCUAAAUGUGUUCCCCAAAAUUCAUGUGUUAGAAACUCAAUCCUCAAAACAACAGUCUAAGGAGGUUAGGUCUCUGGGAGGUGUUUAGGUCAUGAGGGCCCUACCCUUAUGAAUGGAUUAAUGCUACUAUAAUAAGAGCUUGCAAUAGCAGGUUCACUCUAUCUUGCCCUUCUGCCUUUUACUAUAUAAGGAUGAAGCAAUAAUGCCUAGAUGCUGACAUCUUAAUGUUGGACUUCCCAGACCUCAGAACUGUGGAAAACAAAUUUCCGUUAUUAUAAAGUACCCAGUCUGUGUUACUCUGUUAUAGCAAGACAAAUGUACUAAGACCUGUAUUAUAAAGGGUGUUGAGAAUCCUUAUAGCAAUAAGAUGUGAUUUUAUAAUAGCUUUCAAGUAUCUAGCAGUCUAGACCUCAAACAGAUAAACUAAAAACAAGAUAUGAUAGGAUAUAAUGUAAUAUGAAAUGAUAUAAGGGUGAAGCAAAAAUUCAGCACAGGGAAAACAACACUAUUAUGCCCUGACUGGUUCAGAAUGGCUUCCUGGCAGAGAUAACUCUGGAGACAUAUCCACAGAACUAUUUAGGAGUUUUUAGGCAAAGAAAUAUGAACAAGUCAUUGUCAUCAAAGAUAAUAGAAUUAAUGAAGUGCAGGAUGAUUAUAAGCAGUUUAGAGCAAAUUUUUCAAAGUAGGGAAUGUGAGAGAUAGGAUUGAAGAGGUAGGAACUACAUAAUUCAGAACUUCGUACAAGAAAUUUGAAAACUUGAACUUUCUUCUUUUGACAAUAUGGAAUAAUAGGAUGGUUUAAAAUAGAAAACAGCAUAAUGAGAUAUUCACUGGCUAAGUCACUGGUAACUGAAUGGAAGAUGAAUUUGAGGGGACAAGAUCAGGUAACAGAUUUCGAUUAAAGAGUUACUAUAAAAGUCAAGGUAGAAGACAACGGGGCAAAAAUCAGACAGGGUAGAGGAGAGAGGCGGUUAAAGAAAAAAAUUAAAUCCCUAGGACUGGCCUCCUGCCCUAUUUUGUAAGGUUUUUAAACAUACUUAAAUUAACAAGCAUUUGUUGGUAUCCAACAGCAUGCCAGACUCACUGGCAUUUAGGAUGUUGCUUAUGGCAUAUCCUUUUAAGUUAUAAUUGACCAAACUCUGAAAAUUGUCAUAUUUUUUAUUGAAGCCCUUUCACUUUUCCUUUCCAUUAGCUUUCACAUCUUAGUUUUAUAAUCCUUAUCCCUAGGAAACUAAAACCUUGCUCUAGAUCUGAUUGCACAGUGAGAUUUCAGGAUAAAUCUAUUUUCAGGAUAAACCCAUUAGUGUCACAUAAAUCUCAAAUAUAAAUUUCAAAUCGAUACAAUACACAUGAAAAUCAGUGUAACUUUGCAGGAUCUGUGUCCUAUUCUUAUUCAUUUUCCUACUGUACAUAUGACAGAAAGGAAGAACUCAUUAUACAUUUGUUGAAUAAGUGAAAAUAUUGUCUUACUCCAGAAUAAGGUCUAGAUCUGGUGGAUUAUAGUUUCUAAAAUGAUAUUGAACUAGUAGGGCAAAAAAUCUGCCUCAAUUUCCCCCUUUCUUAUAACCAGAAUUCCUUCUAAUUCUUCAUCACUUCUUCCAAUGGCAACUAUGUAUCUUCUUUGGCAAUACCUAUCAUGAAACUAAAUACCAUGACAACUGGAUUCACAGACAGAAUUUGGUCUCUAUCUAAUUCCUCUAAAUCAUAAGGCACAUAGAUAAUACUAUAUUUUAUUUUGGCAGUGUGUGUGUGCACUGUGUAACUUCAAAAGCAUCAGAAAGAAGAUAUCCACAGGAAUCCUGUAGAAGGGGAAAAAGAGAUAUUUUCCUUGUGUAGAGAAAAUAAGUAUUAGAAUAUAGUUACUUAACAGAUCUAACAACAAAAUGUUUCUGAGUAAUUUUUAUUCAUCUUGAACUACAUACAGACUCUUAGUUCCUCCAAGCCAUCAACAGCUAAGACCUGAAGUAGGAUCUGGGCCCCUUCAUAGGUUCCAGUUUUCGAUCUUGGGAAACUACCAUAUAAACCUUAUCCUGAAAAGCAAAAGAAAAAAUGUAAAUAAACUGUUUUAGAUUUCUGCUAUAUACCUCUCUAUAGAUUAGAUACUUUUAUGAAUUUACACUAACUUGUGAUCCUUAUGUGAGCAGCCAUCUUGAAUAUGCUGCUCAAGAUUAUAUCAGAGCUUAGUAGUGUCAAACAUACAGUAUGUGUUCAAUAAUAAUAACAGUAACUAAGAUUGGCUGGGUACUGUUUACAUGCCAUGCACUGCUCCAAGCACCUUUCGUAUACUAAUUCAUUUUAUUCUCAUUCUGAUACUAUACUCUCCAUUUUAUAGUAAAGAAAACUAAACCUAAGAUUCAAGAAUAAAGUAACUUGCCCAAGGUCACACAGGUAGCAGGGCUAAGAUGCAAAUCUGAGCAGUCCAACUUUAUAGCCUAUCCUUAAUCACUGUAUUAGACUUGAAUGAAUAGGUUAAUGCUGUGCCCUUUAGGAGCUAGUAACUUUUUAUAAUGGGAUGGUUCUGAGGUUGAUGCAAAUGUACCUUUUCCGAAGACAUAGUACUUACCUUCUGUUACCCGGAUAAAGCAGUAAGUUUUUCUUCUUGCUUCAUAAAUUUCAGGUAAAGCCUUUUUCCCCCAUACUUCACCUCUUGUUCUUCACAGCUCAGUACUAAUCAUCAGCCCAUAAUGCGGUGUAGAAUUGCCAACACCAUCCCGAUGAUGUAGUUAUUUCCAAUUGGCACUUGGGAGCAGUGAGGAUAGGAGGCAUUACUCAUAGCCAAGAGUACAGAUGUUUCUAAUUGCUUUCCAUUACCAAGAAUAACAGCUGUUUACAUCUAUCAGCAAAUAAUUCACAAGAGCUCCAGACUAUUAAGAUAACACACCCCACCUGGUCACCAUCACAAGUUGUCAAGGCCAAGAUAGAGGCUGCCAGAAUUCCCUUCUGCAUCUCUGUUCAUCAACUGACAGCAUGUGUCACCUUCAGAUAUCCUUAUGCUUCCCCACAAGCUCUGGCUUCUUGGUGGCCUGACACAUCAAAUGGACAUAUGGAUUCUUCAUGGCUUUGCAGUAAAUGUUUUAUGGCUAUCUUGCAGCCAAGGGCAGCUGACAUAGAGAGGCAAGGGACUUGCAAAUAGCCUGAUGAAAGAAUUUCUGCACUUUUUUCACAGAAGAAGAGUACAUGUUCUGCUUAGAGGAGUUUCACGGCUGCAAUAUGCUUAAUUUCUUUAAUGCAUCCACAAAUUGCGUUAGAUGAUAGAUUGGAGUUCAGUAGCAUCCCAGGGACCUGGUCACAUGCCUAAGAUACAAUGUUCCCAGUUCAGUAAACUUUAUCACAUAGUUUUACUGACCACAAAAGAAGACAAAUAUUAAAACACAUUAUAGAUAUUAGGGUUAAAAAGACCAGUAGUACCUCCUCGCUGACACAUUGACUCAUACUGCAUAUUUUUCUUACACACUGGUUUAAAGUCAUUUAAGCAUAUGGUCUGUGCUAUUUUUUUCUAUGGAGACAACUUCAGAGUCUAAUCCAACUCUCUGUGUUUCUGCUGCACCUGAAUUUAUGUCUGAAAUUGGCUUUCUAUACAUUCAGACACAGUUUUUAGUCCAUGAAUUUUAACCUAUUACAAAUAAUGGAGCAUCAUCUCUUCAAAACUACACAAAUGUUUACAAUGCCAUGUUAACUAAGAGAUUUCCUCAUGGCUUGUUGUUGCUUAUCUCCAAGCUGCCCCCCAUCAAUUCCUGCCUUCUAUAUUGUAUUUGUAUGUCACUCCCCUAUCAAAAGGUGGAAUCUAUACAGUCCUUUGAAUUUCGGCUGGCCUCUCAUUGCUUGAAACAACAAGAUAUGCCACAAAUGCUGCUUUGCCAGUUCUGGGCCUAAUUCCUAAGAAGACUGGCAGUUCCUGUUUUUCCUCUUUUGGAACUUUCUCUUUGAGGGAAGCCAAAUGCCAAGUAAGAGCCCUUACUACCCUGAGGCCUCCAGGCUGUCAGGAAGCCCAGAGUAGCCUGACAGAAGAACUGUGUGGAGAAACAAUGAUAAUGGCGGCCCCUCUCAACUGUUCCAGCCACUCUAGAAUGCCACCCGUUCCAACCAUCUCUAGCAAUUCACCUUGUCCCAGUUGAGGCUCUAGAUAUCAUGCAGUACAGACAGGUUGUCCCUAAAUUAUUGACCCACGUAAUGUGAGCAUCAGAAAAAAAUGUUCAAUUUAGGCAACAACUGGCAACUGGAACAUAGCCCCCACCUCACUUUCCAGGAACAUCUGUUAAUUUCUUAGCAUUACUCUAUGAUACUGAUGACAUAACUCCUGAGAUAAAAACCUUCUUAUUAAAUCAUAAUUCCUACACUAAAUAUCAUUGUAGUUUCUAAUCAAAAGAAACAAAAAAAAAGUUAAGUGCUUAUAAAGCGACUUACUUUUUUUUCCCCCUCUAUAUCUGUGUCUCAUUCCAUUGUCAAUGAAGAGUUUACUAUAUAGUUUUGCUCAUAAAACAAGCUAUUAUAUAUUUAGACCUCUGCUUCUGUACAGGAUAUCAAUUCAAAUCACUGUACUUAGUUUUUCUGGUCUAAAUAUAUAUCUGAUAGUCUGGUUUAAAUUAGAAUAAAAUCCUCACUUCCUUCCAGGAAAUUUGGUUCUUUUAAUAGAACUCCAACAAGUUUGGAAAACUACAAAUUCUCUUUUCAUAACAUCAAAUAUGAAUCUGUAGAUGCUAUUGGGAAAAGUACUAGUUUUAAAAUCUAAAGAAGUCAUUGUAUUACUUACAAAUAUGUUUCUUUUAUCUUCUUUCAUUAACAGAGUGGAAAGUUCAAAAUCUGUGGAGCCUUAUUUGUGUAUAUAGCACACUAUAUAUGUAUAUAUACACAUACAUUUAAUAUAUAUGUGUGUUGUGUGUGUAUAUCUUUUAUAUAUAUGCAUUUGUAUAUGUUUGUAGGAAGAGUUAUAAUAUAUAUUAACAAAUUCAUGGCAUUCACUUAGUCACUUUACAUCUGUUUAAUGGUCAUGAGGAGACUACUGCAUUACAGAGUCUCUGGAUUCUAGCUCACCAUGCCAACCUCUCUACCCCUACCUAGUUCUCAGAAGACUGGCAUGAUAACAUGAGUUCCCUUUCACUUCUCUUAUUCUAACAUACUCUUACUCUAUUUUCUUAUCUCAUUGCUUAUACAUUAGCCAAAUGAAUUUACACAGCUUAAUUUCUAUUGUAGAAUAUUUUAGUAAAAAAUGUAACAUUUCAACAUUACUUAAACAUUGUUUUCUUAAUUUCAUCUAAUUUUUUAGAAAAAUUAGGAAAGAGCUAGCUACUUUCUUCUUAAUAACUUUAGACUGCUAAAGUACCAAUAUUAGCUCACUCUUAAAGUUGAAAAGAAUUAUUUCCCCUAAUUAAAUUCAGUUAUUUAUCAAUGGCACAAAUUUUCUUAAACUAUCAAGAAACUGCACCAUUUAUUGUUCAGAAGAAAACACAUUUUUAUGUUCUCCUUUAUCAAAAAAAAUGCAUAGUGUCCUUAAAAACUCCUGAAUAUAGUUCAGUUUACAGGAAGAAAGGAUUCCUUAUGCAGUUAUUUGACCCACAUUGAGAGUCUUCAAAGUAAAGAUGUCUAAGACACAUAGUCACUUCUUUUGGAGUCAGUAUUUCUUUUGAAAUCACUUGUACUCCAAUAAAACACAGACCCUUUACUCAACAACUGCCCAGUCUGAGUACAGUAAAGAACUCUUCUCCAGGAUAACUUUGGACAGGGUGAUGAAGCAGAGAAAGAUCUGGCCGUUAGACUUCUUGAGAAAUCGUCAUUCACCUCUUGUAACUUUACCCUCAAUCUUUCAUUCAUACUAAAGUGAUCUUUAAAAGAUCUAAUGGAAUCAGAGUUCCAAUUUUUGAUAGGAACUUUACAAUUGUAAACUUUGAUUGUGAUAUUGACUAUUGAUUAUGCUAUUUUCUACUGCAAAAUGAAGAUGGUGGUUUCUUCUAGUUUUAAGCAAAUACCUAUUUGGAGGCAAAGGAUUAAACUAUUUGAAAGCUGAAGUUUUCCCAGGUGCAAGCUUCUUUAUGAUAAAAUCUCAUAACUGCAAAUACAAGUCCCCUAGAUUGUACUCUGACACAACAGCAACCCUGAGUUUGUAUCAUAUUUUUUAAACUUUUUAUUUUGAAAUAAUUACAGAUUCACAGGAAGUUUCAAAACACUAAAGAGAAUCCUUUGAUCCUUUCAUUCAGAUUCACCAAUGCUCCAUAUAUUUGAAAUUUCCCUUUUUCAUUGUCCAUAUUAAAAUACCAGAAGAUAAGUAUAAUCUUAAUAAACAUGACAAAGUUGCUCUCACAUUUGUCUUCAAGAGCAGCAGGAAGACGGAUAGUUAUUAAUUAGAUUGCAAGUAGGAUGAUGCUAAUAUAGUACUGGUGAACAUACUUGUUUCCAGGCUGGCAUGAUAUGGCAUGCAAGUUGGCAUGCAGUGUUAUAUGAACAUAUGGCAGGCAGAAGCUGCUGUUUCCUCCUAGGAAACAGCAAAGCAAACGUCAGCUCCCUCAGUACUGAAGACACACACCCUAAAACUCUGCAGUGCUGUUGAGGGCUUGGUGCACAUGCCAUUUCCCUGUCAUCAGGAUGGGAAAUAAACUCUACAUGUGGUGUCACGCCAACAACUAUAGGAACUGAAAGUCUGUUUCCCCAAGAAGAGGAGGACACAACCAGAAGUUCUCACUGAAGCUGCUGUGUCAGGGUACAAUCUAGGGGACUUGUAUUUGUAGUUAUGAGAUUUCAUUGUAAAGAAGCUUCUACCUGGGAAAACUUCAACUUUCAAAUAGUUUAAUCCUUUGCCUCCAAAUAGGUAUUUUCUUAAAACUAGAAGAAACUGCCACCUUCAUUUUGCAGUAGAGAAAACAGAAACAUUCUGUGACCUCUCCAAAUGCUCAGAGUCCAAAUCUGGUUAAAUAUUCAAGGCUUUCCACUUUUUUAGAAUUCUACAGCUAAAGCAAUUCACCCUUCAUUACUAAGCCUCUCCCCAAUGUAAUAAUCUUCACUCUCUGAACAUUUAUCCAACUUGCACCUAAAUCUCUACCACUGAAAUCCAUUUUCUUCAUUCUAUUUUCCAUGCCAGAAAAGCAUAUUUAAUAUGUAAUAAACUCACAUCUUAUUGAAGAUUAUUACUAAUUUUUUCUCAGCUUUCCCUUCAUCAGACUAUAUAAAUGAAUUUUCUUCCAGAAGAAGGUUAUGAAACCGGUCUAUGUUCUUGAUUAUGCAUAUUUAUAUCUACUCAAAGGAUUCCUAUUAGCUUAAAAAUAUAAGCUUGAUACAAUGAGAGUAAAUUAUCAGCAUUCUAUGAAGUAUACUAUACAAAGAUAAUUUAGCUAAACAUGCUUUUUGUCUUUCACUGUACUUUUUAAACAAAUAAUUUAAAAUAUAUGAUUUGGUGGAACAUGUUAUUAGAAAAGAACUUACUGGUUUAAUGGAAAAAAGUCUUCAUUGAAAGAGUGAAGCCCUAAUUACAUUCACCAAAUGUCCCUUUUCCUUCCUCCUGAUCUCUGCUUUCUACUCCCAAAUAGAGUGGUGACUCAAAAAAGCUAAUAGACAACAGUAAGGGAUGAAUCUUCUGUGAAUCACUUAUCCUCAAAAUGGAAAGUCCUUAUCCCAGGUGUUUGGAAGAGUUCUUCAGAUGCCUUCAACUGAAAGAAGACAUUUUAUAAAAUUAUUCUUUCCAUGUGCCAAAGGAUUCUUCCGUGUUGGAAGUAGGAAACUGUCAGCUUCUGUAAGAGCUUUGUUUCUGCCUGCCUCUGUUAGCCAGUUGCAGGGACCAGCAUGCCAAACUAUGAGAGAGCAGGGGACCUGGGGUGCCUGAACUAGCAAUUCCAUCAUGCUGAGGGUUAAAACUUGAGCAAUCACUAAGACUAAAAUGCUAGGUUUCUAUUGUUUCUCUUCAGACACUCCUGAGUAUUUGAUUUUUAUUCAUAUGGUUGUUACUGCUGUUGGAUGUUUCUAUGUGAUUUGUUGUUUUUCCAGAGAGGGAGAGUUCCCACCAGGUUGCCUGCCAGGCAGAGCAGAAUGCCAUUAGUAAGAGAUCUGUGGCCACUGCUCUGUUUAGUGAGCUGCCUCCAUCAAGGGAGAUUUAUCUAUGCAAGUGCUGAUCAUAAUGGAUUCCUUCACUAAAUGAUUUUGGAUGAGCACGGCUUUGGCAGAGGUUCUGCAAGUCCCACAUUCUGUUAUAAAACUGAAUGCCCAUGUAAUGGACGCUAAGGAGAAGUAAAGAUGUGAGGGCAGGUGGGUGGGGGAGAGUUAUAUGUAAAGUGGCAUAGACAGCCACCCUGGAGAUGGGGAGUAGAGGAAUGUGAGCUUGAUACUGAGUUUUCCUAACUGGCAAAAGGACCAAGUAUGGACCCAACUUAUUCAAAGCAACAAAGAAAAUUUUUACAAGGAUAUCAGUCAUAAUUCUAAAAGGGAGAAAUAAACAAUAAAGAACAUAUUUUAAUAAGUGGGUGUAAAGUGCUCUAAAGAAAAAUAUAGCUGAGGCAGGAGGAUUGCUUGAGCCAGGAGUUUGAGACCAGCCUGGGCAGCAAAGCAAGACCCUCAUCUCUACAAAACAUUUAAACCACCAAAGAACAAGGCAAAUACAGCAGAAUCUGUGGAUAAGAGAGUGAGACAAGGCAGAUCAAUGUUAUUUUGUAAAACUUGGUCAUAAAAUCCCUCUCUGAUUAAUUGAAAUGAGUUAAGGAGUAAGGGUGUAAUCCAUGCAUUUAACUGGAGAAAGAAUGUCACAAAGAAGAAAGAGUAAAUACAAAGACCCUGAGGCAAUGGCUGCUGAGCAGGAGAGCUUAUGUGCUCAAAGAAUGGCAAGAUGCCCCUGUGGGUAUAAGCCAUAUAUAUAUAUAUGUCCUACACGAAUGGGUUCCUGAUUCUAUAUGUCAUUCACAUCCUGUACUUCCUUCAAGACUGUUAAAAUUAUGUUUUAAUUUUAUGAACUUUCAUUGAAUAUCUAUUAUGCACCAGUCACUGUACAAAAGGAAUAAAAAUAACAUGAUUUUUCUUGCUUUCUUUUUGAUCGAGACAAUCAUUGUUCUCUCUCUUAUCUAAAUUCUUCUCCUAUUCAUAGUUUUUAACACACAUCUAUGUAUUUUGAGUAUUUAUGCCCUAGGUAUUCUCUGGCCAAUUUAUUUAUUCAAAUCGUGCCAUCCCUUUUGUAUGUAACUUUCUUAAAGGUGGGAACAGUUUCUUAUUUCUUUCACAUCACUAGUACGGAGAUAGAUAUAUAAUAGUCAUUUAAUAAAUACUUGGUGACUCUGUAACCUCAUUAGGAUUGAAAACUGCAUUUCCUUGGAAUAGUAGGGCUCACAAAAAAUCCUCACAUCCGUUAGAACACAUUUACUAUACAAACUUGGGUGUGAUUGGCUUCUAUCAACAAAACCUCAGCUAACAAUGAAUUAAACAAAUAGGUUUUUUGAAAAAAAUUAUAAAAGUCCAUAAUUAGACAGUACCCAUAACUGGUUCAGCCACUCAAGAACACAGAUUCUACUACCAUUUAUCCUUAGGCUUCUGAUAGCAAGACUCAUCCAAAGAAAGAAUACAGGACUAAGAAUACUUGCAUAAGUUAGAUUUCUCCUUGUUGUUGAAUAGCAAGAUGUUUCUCACAAAUUUCCCUUUGUCCCCCUGUAUAUUACUAAAAAGUACUUAGUUAUAUGGCCACCCACAAAAACAAGUGAGACUAAAAAAGUGACUAGAUUUGUUCAGCCCUCAUGAAAGAUGUGGCAAAGGCAGAGGGAAUUAGGAAGAACAGCUAUAUUGAUCAAAUGUUUAUUUGUUCACAAUAUCAGUUUGCCUGUUUCUUCCAAGCUUAUUAAUUGUUUGCAUAGAUCUCUAAGUCUAAAACAUCACACUAUUCUAUUCCCCAUAUCUAGAACUUCUUAUGUUUAGCUUGUCUUUGCAUGUUUUUCUUUUUGACUUUAUUUAUUUAUUUUUUAUUGCAUUUUAGGUCUUUGCAUGUUUUUCAGCAGAGGUUCUAGUUCUUUCUUGUAUCCACUAACAUAAUUGGAAAUUGUAUUUUUCAUGCUUGAUUAUAUAGUUUUAGGUACAAAUUAUCAUUAUAAUUAUUUAAAGCCUGGACAUGAAUCCAUUGACAACUUUAUUCCCAUAAAUUUUCAGUCCACACCAGUAUAUUCAAAAGAUUUUAGGUUCUACUCAAAUAUUCAGUUCUCUUUAAUGUAUUAAUAGUCUUUUGAAGAUAAAAAAGAGAGUGGGUAUCAUCAGGAAACACUAUAUUAUAGACAGAUACAUAGGCUUCUUAACUUUAAUAUUUUCAGCCAUUUUAUGUGCUAAUAUUUAGUCCACUCUUCAAAGGAGUAUAUAAUAUGCAGUGUUUUCAACAUAUUUAAUUGCAUGGUUUAUUUUUUCAGAAAGCAUUUUGUAGAACCAAUGUUUAAAGAAAAAAUUGUAUCAGAAUGCUGCUCUGGAUAUUUCUACACACUUAGAUGUCAUUUCUGUAUAAGACCUGAGGAACCAGGUCUUUAUUUUAAAUGGCACAGAACACAGUUAUACUACCUAGGUUAAACUUCAUAGUCUCACUGGUUUCAAAAACUCUAUGUUCUUCAAAGUUCAGCUUCUGAGUUUAUCUAUGUAUGUGAGUUCAGUUCUAGCCCAGGAAACAGGUACACUAUGCUCCUAUUCUAACCCUGCCUCUUCUCCCAAAUAAGUGUUAAAAAUUAAUGUGAAAAUCAUGGUCACCUGAGCUUCUCUAUUCCACUGAUUCUUAGACCAUAUUCUUAGACCCUAUUCUUUAUAUAGUUUACUUGGAGAGUAAAGUGACUACAGUAUCAUACAAUUUUCUGAAAAUUCACUCUGUUGUCUAUUGAAAUAGUAGAAUCUUAGAAGGGGUUUUAGUCACUUGGUUUCACACUCAGCCAAAACAACACCUGAAGCAUACAAAGCAGAUGGUCAUGUGAUCCAAUGGUAUCAAGACACACCAAAAGUAGAAGUGCCCAAAUUUACUAAUGUCAUCAAGAAGGAGGACUGCAUUAAAAAUAAUAAUGCCUAGGCUGUUCCUUGUAUAAUGACAUCUUUGUUAGAGCAUCCUCAAAUGUCUUGACGGUGCCACUUUAUUUUAGUCCUUUCAAAAGACGUUAAUUUAAACCAUAUAUCACUGUGCUCACUAAUGUAAUUGUUAACCUUUCUUUUUUAUUUUCACUUCAAGGCCUACUGAUAUAGUUCUAAAAAAUGACAUAUAGUCCUAAGGCCAAAGGGGAUUUACAAUUGGUUUUUAUAACACUGUAGAUGUAAUAUUAUGAAAAGACUACCAAAGUAAUGUAAAUGUGAAAAUAAUUUGCUGGGUUUUUGUUGUUGUUGUUGUUGUUGUUGUUGGUUUUUUUUUGGUGGUGGUGGUUGUUGUUGUUGUUUUGAGACAGAGUCUCACUCUGUUGCCUAGGCUGGAGUUCCGUGGUGUGAUCUUAGCUCACUGCAGCCUCUGCCUCCCAGGUUCAAGCGAUUCUCCUGCUUCAGCCUCCUGAGUAGUUGGGAUGACAGGUACACACCACCAUGCCCAGCUAAUUUUUGUAUUUUUAGUAGAAACGAGGUUUUACCAUGUUGGUCAGGAUGCUCUUGAACUCCCGACCUCAUGAUCCACCUGCCUCAGCCUCCCAAAGUGCUGGGAUUACAGGCAUGAGCCACCGCGCCUGGCUGAUUUGCUGGUUUUAAAGGAGUUUUCUAAAACAGUGCAUCUUUUGUUCUUUCCACCAAUGUUUCUAGCCAAGUAAAGACAGUGUUUUUUAUAAAUGGAGAAAUAAACUAAGUUUCUUCAUUUGGAGGACUAUAAGUGACUCCCCCAAAGUCAAAGAAAGAGUAGGUGCAUCAUCAGGAUUUCAGCUCUGAUUUUCUAGAUGAAGUUGAGUUUCCCUUUCUUUCUUGUCAAAGUUUAUUUCCAGGCCAAGCCUGUGUUCAGGUUAGUUUCAAUCAGUGUUUAGCAGAGAUGGAAAUCAGAUGGCUACAAUCCUGCACAUGCUUUCCUAGCCUAGAGGGUGGAGACUCAAAACAGGGACUUUAUAUAUACUGUACCUAAAAUUCAAAUCCAUCCUACCCUUCCCUACAGAGAGUCCCAAAAUGGCCUAGUCAGGUGCCAAUCAAAUGUUUGUUGUUGGGGUUUGGAUUAUCUGGAAGCUGAUUUAAAACAGAGCAUUGCAUUUUGGAUAGAUGGCAGCUGUAGUGGCAGCAUAGUUUUUGCAUCUUCCAAAAUCUUCACAUUAAAACAGAUGGCAAAACCAAAACCGAUGGACAUUUAUAACAAAACUAAAUGACAAAGAAUUCCCACUAACCUCAAAAUAAAAAUGGAUGAGGACAAACCACCAACAGUCACAUAAUUAUAUAUUACUGGUAUCACAGAGGAGAAAGCAGAGGAAGUAAUAAGAUAUCUUAUGGGGACUUCAGAUUAGGAUAACCCCCAAAUACCAAACAGAUUUACUGGAAAGUAGAGUGAGCCAAAUCAACACAGAAUAUAAAACUGUGAAGGUUUUUGCCCAAUCCCAUAGAGGGUAAAACUAACAAGCCUACAAUUAAGCUAAAAGUCUUUCGCACUUUUGACCCUAUGAAUUCUCAAAAGUAACCCAUUAGGGCUUCCUCCAAGACAAGUUCCCAUAAUGAGAAGAACCUUCUAAGUAAAAUAAAGCAGCAGCACAAAGACACCUGAAAUGAAGAAAUGUGAAGGUUUGAAUAAAAGUCAGGGAGAAGAACAAAACCAAGAAAUCUCAGAAAGCCAUCUGAACCAAGCCUUUUUCUAUGACUUCAGGAAAACUAAAUAUCCCUAAAUGUGAGAAAGAGGAAAGUACCAAGUUCUAAAUUUAUAGAAAGUCAAUAAAAUAUAAUAUGAUGCAAAUUAACAUGUAUGUUUGAAGGAUCCUCAAGUUGUCACUUUUCUGGCUGGAAACCUCUGUGGCUGGUAGCAUGUUUGCCCAAAUUUUGCUUGGGCCUGCUGGGCUUGAUCUACCACAUGGCCUGGCAGGCUGCACUUAGCUCACACUACCAGUCUGGAUCCGAUGCCUGCCAAGGGAGAGUCAGGCAGGGACCAGUGAGGGGUAGUGUGAAUGAGUGAGCAUGGUGUCCGGCCACUGUUCAGUCAGGCACACUGGCAGUGCAGUGGGGUGGGCAGCUUCAGGUGCCAGCAUAGGUGCCAGCCCUCUGUGAGGCUGUGGCUGGACCAGGUGCACCACAAGCAGCUUCCACAGCUGCCACCAGGGAAUGUGGUGAUGCCAAGGAAGCUUGGAGAUACCAGGAACUCCAGGGCCCCAAAGAGAGAGUCACAGCCCUGGUUCAGAGAGCUCUCAAAUCUGGGACCACCAAAGGGCCACAGCUCUUCUCUCCUUCUCUUUACCCACAAUGUGGUGAGCAAGAGGCAUGUUUCAGCCAUUUAUAUCACAGCUUCCAGGCCUGCCAUUCAGUAGGUUCUGAGUUCUUGUCCAUCAUACAGGAAGAGUGAGGUACACAGACAAGCAGAGGGUGAGCAAGGUGAAGAGAAGCUUCACUGAGUGACAGAAUGGCUCAGUGAAAGCCUUGCAAUGGGUACCUCUUCUUUGCAGACAGGUCAUCCUAUUGUCAUUGCAGCUCUCAUUAGAGAGGAGACCCUGGAGUAGGUAGUUCCUCUCUGCAGCUGAGCAUCCCAAUGUCUGCUCUCAGCAGAGAGAAGGUCCUUGAAUAACUAGUUCCUCUCUGCAGCUGGUUGUCCAGAUGUCUGCUUAGCUCUGGCUGAGCCCAGGGCUUUUAUGGGCCUCAGAGUGGAGAAAAUACAUGCUGAUUUGUUCAUGGGUACCCAGAAAAGGCACCACAAGUUCCCACUCCUGUCUGUAGGACUGGGAGACUGGCCCCCAGUCUUCAAGCCCUCCAUGGCAUGAAGGUGGGAUCUUACUGCCCUUUUCUGGCCAGGAACCUGUUUACCUCCUGCAAACAUUUAUGGUGCCCAGGUUAUAGGUGCCAAGGGGUGUCUGCAGGCCAGCACCAAGCUGCCCUCAGCUCCCCAUGAGCUUCCCUCCUAUGCUUGUCAGCACCCAAAGGCCAGAGGGGGCUGAGGCAGCAGGGAUUGUCAGGUCAGCACUGCAUAGAGCAUGUGCACACUCUGCUAGGCUGUGACAGCACCUGGGUUCAGCCCCAACUUUGGUCCAAAAUCAAAGUUGGUGCUGACAGCAAAGAGAAGGCAGGCAGCUGGAGCAGGCACUUCUGAGCUUGGGGUCGGGGGGGCCUACCCAGGCCCCCCACAGUGCAGGGAUGCCUGUGUCUAUAGCCACAGUUUGGGUAGCUGCAGCUGUUCCUGGGGUUGGGGAUCCCUCUGUGGAGGAGGAGGCCCCAGUCUGUAGCCACAACUUGAGAGGCUCUAGCUGUGCCCAGGAUAGCAGAGCAUCUGCCUGCUCCCAGAACCCUGAAGAGCACAGGGAGGCCAGUAAGUAACCCCACUGAGCUCCUGCCCUCCAACUUGGAAGGGGUGGGGCUCCCACUUUUCCCUGGCUCCCAUGGGCUCUGUGGCAUGUGCAGCCCCAGCCACACCUUUCAGCUGCAGCUGGUGUGAUGGCAGUGGCUGCUCCAGAUUGGCCACUGCUGCUAUCAUAUGCAUUACUCAUAUGUUAAUUUGCUUCAUGUUGACUUAUAGUGACUCUCAUGUACAACUCUUAUGUUGCAUAUGAUUAGAUAUAGGCAAAUUUAUCUGUCUAUUCAAAAAAUAUGAUUAAACUAAAAUAUCAACAGAGAAUAUAAAGCAGAAUAACAUCCUGUAGGUAAUAAAAUUAUGCCACAAAAAUAUGCUCAAAUAUAGAUUAAAAUGGUAGCAUACAUUCCAAAAUGAGUUAAAACGUAUUUAUAAAAUGAUACAAUAUAUGACGUAACAGUAUAAUCCCAAAUUAGAAAACUUCAGAAAUUAGGUGACAGAACUCAAGAAGAAAUUAGAAAUUUAAAAAAGCGUUUGAAAUAAAGAUCAAACACAAAAAUGAAUGUAUACAAAAUAGUGGCUUCAGAGAAAUAUGCAGUAAAAGAAAAUUUAGAAUCAAAAAGAAAUGAAAGAAAUGAAAAGGCCCUGAAAGUGGCAUUUGUUGAAUAUCAGCCACCUGCAGAUAAUAAGUGCCCUAAAGAAGAAAACCAAAGCAACGGAACUAAAUACUAAACUAAAAGCAACAAUUCAAAAAAAUCUCUUGCAGAACAAAAUAUUUUUAAAUUUUUGAAACUACACUUUGAAGCUUCACACUGUAGACCCCAAAAUACUGAAACAGAAUGACCUACACCAAGAUAUAUCUAGAAAACAUGCUUUAGACAACCAAAAUAACUAGAGAAACAUCAACAAAAAGACUGGUGGUGAGCAUUAAAUGUGCAGUUAGUGGUAUAAAUAAGACUGAGAAUUUAAGAGCAUUUAGUGUAAUGGCUAUGUGCUCUGUCAAUACACAUAGAGGACAACUCUAACACAUAGGGGAAAAACAGGGCGGGCAUAUGCAAAACAAUACAACAGAAUCAAAUAUUUCAUAAAAAAUAAAGAAAAUAUUUUAUCAACAAUUUUAUAUCAAUUACAUGUUGAAAUGAUAAGAUUUUGUGAUGUGUUGGGUUAAUGAAAUAUGUAUAUAAUAUACUAGAAUUAAUUUUACAAGUUUCUUUAAACUUUUCUGACAUGGCUACAAAAAUAUUUAUAGGUCGGGCAUAAUGGCUUAUGUCUGUAAUCCCAGCACUUAGGGAGGCCAAAGCAGCCAGGAGUUUGAGACCAGUCUGGCCAACACGGUGAAACCUGUCUCUACCAAAAAAGAAUAAUUUGCUGAGUAUGGUGGGAUGGACCUGUAGUCCCAGCUACUCAGGAGGCUGAGGCACAAGAAUCACUUGAAUCCAGGAGGCGGAGGUUGCAGUGAGUCAAGAUUGCACCACUGCACUCAAGCCUGGGUGAUGGAGUGAGAUCCUAUCCCUAUAUAUAUUUACAUGUAUUUACAUAUAUGAUUCACUUUCAUUGAGUUAAUAUGCCACCAUUUUGGAACCCUCAAAGACUUAAUGGAUCUAAUCACGGAGUUUCAAUAGCUCUUAACAUAAAAGACAGUGAAUUUUGUGUUUUCUACUUAUCUCUGAUGAAAGCACUCAACACCAUUUAUCGUGUUGCCAAAGGGACGCAACCAGUGUCUGAUCAAAUCUCUAGAUACAGAAGCCCAUCUGCAGGAUAGAGGAACAUGUUGAACUGAACUGUAAGUGAAAAAGUACUCAAAGUCAUAACUGCAAUACUGAGGGCUACAAGAAACAUUUCCUGCCUCUCAAUUCAUUUUUUCUUCAUAGAGGAGAAAUUACUCUAGUUCUUAAAAUAUAUGAAAUAAAUAGUAUAACUAAAAUACAUGAAAUAAUAGUAUAACUAAAACCUUAAUGAAAGAGAAAAAAAUUAAAUUGUAAAAAUAACUAAAACCUUAAUGAAAGAGAAAAAAAUUAAAUUGUAAAAAUAUCUCAUAAUUCCAAAAUAAGGCAAGUAAAGGGAACAGGAACAAGGAAUACCAGGGACAAAUAAAGAACAAAUAGUUAACUUUAAAAACCCAACUGAGGUAGGAGGCAGGACUCAACUCUAGAGGUGGGGCUCAGACAUGGACCAAAUUGAGGACUAGCUAAAUUAGGGGAGGUGGAAGCAGCUUUCAAUGAGACACAACCAUCAGCGUGCCAUGUCAACUUACUAUCGCCAUGGCAACACCAGGGAGUUACCACCCCUUUCCAUGGCAAUGACCUGAAGUUACUACCCCUUCCCUGGAAAUUUCUGCAUAAACUAUCUUUAAAUCUGCAUGCAAUUAAAAAUGGGUAUAAAUAUGACUGCAAAACUGCCCUGAGCUGCUACUCUCUGCCUGUAGGGUAGCCCCGCUCUGCAGGAGCCGUCACACAGCUAUAAUAAUGCCUCUUCAAUAAAGCCGUUUUCUUCCACCUCUGACUUGCCCUUGAAUUCUUUCCUGAGCAAAGCCAAGAACUGUCACAGGCUAAACUCCACUUUGAGGCUUGUCUGCCCUGCAUCACAGCUAUGUCACUAAUAACAUUGAAUAUAAAUGAACUAAACAAUGCAAAUAAAAGAUUAAUAUUGUUUUUUGGAAAAAAAGACAAAUGCAGUUUACAAGAGAUGGUCAUUUAAGGACUCAUUUAGGAUAAAAAGCUACAGCAUGUAAAUACUAACCAAAAGAAUACUAGCAUUAUUGAUAGCAAUAUAGAAUACUAAUGUUAGUAAAGAACAGUUUGAAAAAGAAAUAUAUAGGACAUAAACACCAAUAAAAAAAAUCCUAGUAUUACUGAUAGUAAUAUAGAAUAUUGAUAUAUCAGUAGAGUUUAAACAUUACUAAGACAUAUGCCCACCAAAGACAUGUACAAAAAUAUUUAGAGCAGUUUUUUCAUAAUAGCAAAAAUUAAAAACAGCGCAUGUAUUCAUCAACAAUGGAAAAAGUUGUUAUAAUGUAUGCUCUUCUCACUGCCUCUUCCAAUCACCACCACCCCCACUAUCUUGACCUCUAAUGUGAUCACUAUCUUGACCUCUAAUACUACAGAUUAGAUUUCCCUGUCUUUGAAAUUUAUAUAAAUCAAACCAUAUAGCAUGUGGUAUUUUGUAUCUUCUUUUUUUCACUCUACAUUUUGUUUGGGAGAUUCUGGUUGACAUUAUUGUGUAUGAUUAUAGUUCAUUAUCAUUCUGUAUAUUACUUCAUUACAUGGCUAUACCACAGUUAUUUUCCAUGCCACUGUUGGUUGCCUCAGUUUUCUCAUAUGUAAAAUAGUGAUAAUAAUACCAACUUAUGAAAUUAAAUGAACUAAUACUUGUAAAGCAAUUCUUAAAAGCUCUAUGAAAAUGUUUGACUAAAACUAUAUGGAAUAUAUGUCAUUUCGAACUAUAUAUUUUCUUUAUCUUUUUUUCUUCUAAUGAAAAGGACAAAUCCUUUUUAAAUAUUUCUUUAAGUUCCCAUCAAUCCUAUGGUGUUAUGUCUCUUAUUCACAAAUUAAUUCACUUAAAAACAUUAAACACAAUAUAUUUCAGACCAUAUGCUAUCUCUCAGGGAAUCUGGGACACCAUGUGGACAAGUAUUUACAGUGUAAUAAUUGCUAUUUAUACAAAAUAGAUUAAUCCAUGGUUUACCUUGUUCUUUAGAUAUUUUUAUUUAAAAUUUUCUGUCUUAGUGCCAAGGUAACUUAUAACGAGAAUUUAAUAACUACAAAAACCCUGUAUGUUUUCAUUGGCCAUGAGGAUGCAACAGAAAGUAAAGAAAUUAUUGAAAGCAUCCUUUACAGAUAUGAAAAUGUUUUGUUCCUCUUUAUAGAUUAUGACAGGCUGCUAGGGACCCCCUUUGUGAUGGACAUGAGAGAGAUAAACAGAAAUGCUUUCUUCUUGAAAGAUGUCUGUACAAUCUAAAACAAUUAAUCUUGCUGGAGUGAGUCAGCUCUAAUGGUGCUGCCUGGCAUAGGCCAUUCAUCAAAGCCCACCAACCCAUCACACAGAACCAGUCACACUGCUUGGCAGGCCUGCCACUCUGCCACAUGCCUAGAUUCCUGGAAAUCUAUGUAAGGCAGAGCAAGCCCUGGGAAGUUAUUUGUGUUUGUCUUAAAAAAAAAAAAGGGAAUCUGAAGCUAUUCUUAUUUAAUGCUACUGAUUCUAAUGAAGAUGUCAAUGAAAAACUACCUCCUCUCCUGACACAAAGCUCAUCUAUUUUGACAAAUAAGUCUGGCAAUGUGUCCUCCUCUCAAACUCAAAACUCUAGGCAUGACAGAUCAUCCUUGUCAGCAUAAGCACAUUUUCUAAUAUCACUCAUUAAAAAAAAUAAAACUUUCACUAGAGAUGACAGCCUCCUACAGCUACUGCCCAUUUUUCUGAUCCCUAUUUUUAAAAAUAUUUCUUUACUUUUCAUUUCUUCUUGAAUAUCCUCUAGUAGGACUUCUGUUUCUCUGUUGAAAUCAUUCAUGUUGGCUCGCUAAUGACACACUUCUCGCCAUACUCAAUAACUAAACUUUAGUUCUCUCUCUCUCUCUCUCUCUCUCUCUCUCUCUCUCUCUCUCUCUCUCUCUCUCUCUCUCUCGGAUACACACACACAUCACUUCUUUCACUUCUCUUCAACUGGUUAGGCUCUGAUUUCUAAAUCUUCUUUGCUAGUUUCUGAUCUUUUUAAUGGUUGGAUGUUGGCAUGCUCCAGAACUCAGCCCUCAGCCUCUUGUCUUCUCCAUACUUACUCCCUUGGUCAUCUCAUCUUGUCCAAUGGUUUUAAACAGCAGUAUUGUGCAACCAAUUCCACAAUUUGAUAAAUGUAGCCUGGACCUCUCCCAGACUCCACAUUUUUAUAUUCAGCUGCCUAUUUGAUGACUCUACUUAAAUAUCUAAGAGGCAUCUGAGCAUAAUACAUCCAAAUUAGAACUCUUGGUUUCCCCUUAAAACAUGAUUAUCUCCUAGUCUUUAUAAUCUUGGCAAAUGUUACAUAUCCUGACACAAAUGUCUAAAACCUUGUAGUCACGUUUCAACCUCUUAUCCUCACUACACUUCCUAUAAAAUCAACCAAAAGUCUUGUUGACUUAAAUUUCAAAAUACAUUCCAUGUUCGAUACUUCUCACCACUUCUACUACUUCUCUGAUCCCAGCUGUUAUCACCUCUCACUUUGACAAUUCAAAACACCCCUAACUGGUCUCCCUCCACCUUUCUUCAGUGGAUUCUUUAUUGAUAUAUACUUCUUUGAAAAUAAAUAUCAAGCUUUUUUUUUUUUUUGCUUGAACAUUUUAAUGGUUCCCUAUGGCAUGAGAAUCAGUUUCAAACUCUUCACCGGGGCCCUCAAGGAGCUGUGUGAUAUAUGCAUCUCUUGAACACGAUCUCUUUUCACUUCUCUCACUCCUCUUCAGUGCCACUAGCCUCCUGGCUAAUGCUGAAAUGUUUUUCUGCCCUCCAACUUUGUUCUUACUAAAUUUUCGUUGGACAUACUUCCCUGAGAGCUGGAACAUGGAUUCCUUCUCACUUUAAUGAUCUGAUCAAAUUUCACUUUUUACAGAAGACUUCCCUGAUUGAUCACAUUCCUUUCUCCUAUGAUUCUCUAUGACAUUACCAUGUUUUUUUUUUCUUGAAAGCAUUUGCCUGCAAUUUAUAUUACAUUUUAUAUUUAUUUUAUUGUUUGUUAUCCAUCAACCCCAAUAAAAUGUAUGUUCCAUGAGGAUAGGAGAUCGACCUCUUUUAUCACCUUUGUUUCACCUGUUUUCAGAAGAGUGCCUGGUGCAUGUUAGGUACUCAAUAAUUAAUGUUGAAUAAGUGGAGUUUAAAAAAAAGAUUUAGUUGUACAAAUGUAAUUUUGUUACAUGGAUAUAUUGCACAAUGGUGAAGUCUGGACUUUUAGGGUGCCCAUCACUCAAAUAGUGUUCAUUGUACCCAGUAGGUAAUUUCUCAUCACUCAUUCCCCCUCCCCCAUCCCACCUUUUAGAGUCUCUAAUGUCUAUUAUUGUACUCUAUCAGUUCAUCUAACCCAUUGUUUAGCUUCCAGUUAUAAGUGAGAACAUGUAACAUUUGACUUCAUGAGUUAUUUCACUUACAAUAAUGGUCCCAAGUUCCAUCUAAGUUUUUGCAAAUCAUAUCAUUUUCUUCUCUUUUUAUGGCUGAGUAGUAUUCCAUGAGGUAUACAUUUAUCACAUUUUCUUUAUCCAGUCAUCUAUUGAUGGACACUUAGGUUGAUUCCAUGACUUUGCUAUUGUGAAUAGUGCUAUGAUAAACAUACAAGUGCAGCUGUCUUUCUGAAUGAGUGGACAUUCAUUUUAGAAUGAAAGCAUAGUGAUAGACAAUCUAAUAAGGUUUAUCUUUUUUUGAAAGAGGCAAAAUCAGCUUUAUUCAUAUUUUUUAAUCAGGUGGUUAAGGAAAAAUAAAAUGUGUAGCAUAUUACAUAGAUUAUUAUAAGGGGUAAGACAAGUAUGUGCAGCACAACUGACCAGGUCAUUUUUUCUUUUUCGAGACAAAGCUAACAAAAGAUGUUUUUUUUAGUUCACUUUUAUUUUUGGUUCAGGGGUACAAGGGCAAGUUUGUUAUACAGGUAAAUCACCUGUUAUGGGGGUUUGGUAUACAGAUUAUUUCAUCACCCAGGUAAUCAGCAUAGUUCCCAACAGGAAGUUUUGUAAGCUUUGUCCUCCUCUCAACCUCCACUCUCAAGUAGGCUCCAGUGUCUGUUCCCUUCUUUGUAUCAGUAUGUACUCAAUGGGUAGCCUCCACUUAUAAGUGAGAAUAUGAGAUAUUUGGUUUUCUGUUCCUGUGUUAGUUUUCUUAGGCUAAUGGCCCCAACUUUAUCCCUGCUGCUGUAAAGAACAUGAUCUCGCUCAUUUUUAUGUCCGUAUUUCAUGGUGUAUAUGUACAACGUUUUCUUCAUACAGUCUACCAUUGAUGGGCAUCUAUGUUGAUUCCAUGUGUUUCCUAUUGUUAAUAGUGCUGCAACGAAUAUAAUGGUGCAUGGUAAAAUGAUUCAUUUUCCUUUGGGUAUAUACUCCAUAAUGGAAUUGCUGAGUCAAAUGGAAACUGUUUUCAGUUCUUUGAGAAAUUGCCAAACCGCUUUCUACAAUGGCUGAGCCAUUAAUAAUUUACAUUUCCACCAGCAGUGUAUAAGUGUUUCUUUUUCUCUGCAAACUCACUAGCAUCUAUUAUUUUUUUCCCUUUUUAAUAACAGCCACUCUGACUAGUGUGAGAUAGUAUGUCAUUGUGGUUUUGAUUUGCAUUUCUCUAAUGAUUAGUGAUGUUUUUUCAUAUGCUUCUAGGGCCCAUACAGCUAUUCUUUUGAAAACUAGCUUUUCAAGUCCUUUGCUCACUUUUUAAUGGUGGUGUUUUUCACCUGUAAAUUUGUUUAAGUUUCUUAUAAAUGCUGAAUAUCAGACCUUUGUUAGCUGCAUAGUUUGCAAAUAUUUUCUCCUAUUCUUUAGGCUGCCUGUUUGUUGAUAGUUUCCUGGCUGUGCAGAAACUCUUUACUUUAAUCAGAUACCAUAUAUCAAUUUUUGUUCUUGUUAUAAUUGCUUUUGGUGUCUUCAUCAUGAAGUCUUUGCCAGGUCCUAUAUCCAGAAUGGCAUAUCCUAGGUUAUCUUCCAGAGUUUUUAUACUUUUAGGUUUUACAUUUGGGUCUCAAUCCAUCUUGAGUUGAUGUUUCAUAUAUUAUAAGGAAGAGGUCUAGUUUCCAUCUCCGAGUUUCCAGGGAACUCAACCAUCUCAGGCAGUCUCCAGUCUGCUGCUGCUGGCCAGCUGGAAUUCCAAGCCAAUAGGUCUUAACUUGUGAGGUGCCAUGGGAGUGGGGCCUGCUGAAUGUAGCCUCUUAGCUCCCUGGCUUCAGCCCUCUUCCUAUGGGAAUGGACAGAUCUCCUGGCUCAUCAGAAUUACUGGGACUAGAAUUUGCAAAAACUCCUGCAUUUCCAUGCCUGCCCAACUGGGCACUGAGAAUCUACACAGCUCUCUGCCUCAGCCCAAGGCCCUGGUGGCAUGGGCUCAUGAGGGGCAGGUUGCAAAGAUUUGUGGCAGAAGUGCGGUCUUCUGGGUGAGGUCACACAAUCACUCACCAACUCUCUUGGCUGGGGGUGAGAAUUCCCUUUGCUCUGUGCUGCCCCUGGGUGGGCCAUCACCACCCCCUAUUUUCCUCACUCUUCCCUGACACGCUGACCACCAAGUCAGUCCCAAUGCAAGAACCUGAAAACCUAGGUUAAAGGUGUAGAAUUCAUUCAUGAUUUUGUUCUUCUCUGUGAGAGCUGCAGACUGUAGCUGCUUCUAAUAGGCCAUCUUGGCCCACCUAAUAUUUUUUCUUUCAACUUUGAAAAAUCUGAUGAAUAUGUGUCUCAGGGAAGGUAUUUUUGUGUAGUAUUUUGCAGGGGUUCUAUGCAUUUUCUGAAUUUGAAUGUUGGUCUUUCUAGAAAGGUUUGGGGAAUUUUCAUGGACAAUAUCCUGAAAUAUGUUUUCCAAGUUGUUUGCUUUCUCUUUAUUUUUUAUUUUUAUUUUUUUGAGAUGAAGUCUCACUCUUGUGGCCCAGGCUGCAGUGCAAUGGUGUGAUCUCAGCUCACCACAACCUCUGCCUCCCAGGUUCAAGCGACUCUUCUGCCUCAGCCUCCCAAGUAGCUAGGAUUAUAGCCAUGUGCCACCACACCCGGCUAAUUUUGUAUUUAUAGUAGAGAUAGGGUUUCUCCAUGUUGGUCAGGCUAGUCUUGAACUCCCUACCUCCGGUGAUCACCCACCUCAGCCUCCCAAAGGGCUGGGAUUACAGGUAUGAGCCACCAUACCCAGCUGCUUUUUCUUUCAGGGACACCAAUGCGUCAUCUAUUUGGUCUUUUUACAUAAUCCCUUACUUCUUAGAGGUUUUGUCCAUUCUUCUUUGCUGUUCUUUCUUUAUAUUUGUCUGACUGUGUUAUUUCAGAGAGCCAGUCUUUGAGCUCUGAGAUUCUUUCCUUAGCUCUGAAAUUAUUUCCCUAGCAAUUCUGCUGUUAAUACUAGCAACUGUAUUCUGAAACUGUCAGUUUUUUAAAUCUAUCAGAUGAGUUUGGUUCUUUCUUAUAAUGGUCAUUUCAUUCAUCAGCUCAUUAUAUUUUUUAUCCUAAUCCUUAGAUCCUUGGAUUGGGUUUCAACUUCCUCAUAAAUGUCAAUCAUCUUCAUUCAGUUUCCAUAUUCUGAAUUCAGUUUCUGUCAUUUCAGCCAUUUCAGCUUGGCUAAGAACCAUAGCUGGGGAAGUAGUAUGGUCAUUUGCAGGUAAAAAAGACACUCUGACUUUUUGAGUUGCCAGAGUUCUUGUACUGGUUCUCUCCCAUCUGUGUGAGUUAAUGUUCCUUCAGUCUUUGCAGCUGCUGUCCUUUGGACGGGUUCUUUCUUUUCUCCUCUUUGCCAUCCUUGUGGUGAUGUCCUUAUUGUGGUAUAAGGCAGGUUCAGUUGACUAGCUCCUUACUGGAAGAUUUUAGGGGGGCAGGGCUCAGCUCAGGACUCCCAGGCUAUGUGCUCUAACUCUUAGGAGCUGGCAUUGGGCUCCCACCUUUGUUCUUUGGCCCCUCACAGUUAGGAACCUGCUGCACUGGGGGCUCAGGUGCUCCCAGACUGCUCAUCACAACAUUCCAAUGGGUGGUGCCAGCCAAAGAGCUUUUUAGGCGGUGGUAGUAGAAUCUGUGCUCACUUGCAUGUAUCAGUAGCAGUGGCAGCAUGGCAGGGUGCACACUUGUAGGCCAAGGCAGGGCGCUGGUAGGUGAAUGGUAGUGCCACUCUCCUGCGAUGUUUACAGCAGCAGCGGUGGCAGGAUGUCCACUGUUGUUCAUGUGCAGAUUUAUGCAGUAUUGGCACAGGGGUGGGGUUCUGGUAGAUGUGAGGCCGGUGCCCUCUACAUGCAUGUUCAUGCUGGUGGCAGUGGUGGCACAGGGUGGGGAGUAGGACAUUGGUUUCCAGGCACAGGUUUGUGCCAGUGGUAUCAAUGCAAGGAUACAGCGCUGGUGAAAGUGGUGCAAACAGUCUCCAUGCUCACAAUUGUGCCAGUGUCAAUGGUGGCAGAGAAUGGCAGGCAGGGCUGCUGGUCUUAUGUGCAUCCAUGUUGGCAAUGGUGGCAUGGCAGGGAGCAGGGUGUGCUCACACCAGCAGCAAUGGUAUGGUGGGGUAUAUAUGCAAAUACCUGCCAGUGGUGGGGGAAGAAAAGGAAGGUCCACCUGCUCCCACAUGCCCCACCAAGCAAUUGAGGGGGGUUGGUCAUGGGUGUGCUGGCAAAGCAGUAUAGAGACCGCUGCAGUUGGAGGAGGGUGCAGGUGGGCUGGUGAACGUCAGUGGGAGGCCACUCUGCUGGAACUCUCUGUCAGUUAUGCCUGGUCUACCCGUGCAUGAGGUAUGAUGUGGGCAGCUGUGGCUGCACUGCAAGCAGGUGUGGUCAGGCCAGGGCCCUAAGAGAGGCCAAUAGACAGGGAAGUGCUCAGGUCAGACUGGCCUCAUCUGAUAGGCAAGAUUGCCCUGCUCUGUUCAGGUCCAGUGGUUCCUCUAAGGCUAAAGUCUCCUAGGGGAGCAAGGGAAGCCUUUGGAGACAGGCAUCCCUGGCUGUGCUCCACUACAGACACUCCCAUACCAAAUCUUCUAGGAUCUGUGCCAGCAGGAGUUCUGUACCUACCACCUCUCUAAGAUGCUCUUCCCACCAGUUCAAGUGUCUGGGGGUGAGGGGGGACAUGGGGUCUUCUACUGCCAAGAUUCUGGAGGCCAGUGGUGAGAGCAGGUUGCUUUUCUCCUGCUUAACUCACCCCUUCCCCAGAACUUGCUCAGGGCCAGAAGUGAGUCUUCGGUACAUGGUAGUCUUGUGCAGAGUUCCCAGCUUUCUUCCCCUUCAACCCAGCAUCUCUGUCCUCCCUCCGUCUGCUCUCAGUGCCUCCCCUCCGAAGAUCUGCUUGGAGUGCGCCAGUCUUCCUGAUGUUCUGGUCACUUGGUGGCAGAUGUUCCUCCUGGCUGCAUCUGGUUGGCUAUCUUACCUCAGGUCUAAGGUCUCUUCUUAUUCUCGGUUUUUUUGGUUCCAAAUCAUUAAAUAUUGUCUCCAUAAGAACUAUCAUCAUGUCUCAACUUCCUAUGAAAUAGAUAUUUGGAAGAAUAUGGGUAAAUGGCAAAGGAAUUUGUGAUGAAUAGACUGUGAGGAAGCUAAUACAGGGAAAACUGAAAUGCAAGGGAGCUAUAAAAUUCUCAGAAAUGCAGUGAAGAAGGUAACGAAAAAAUAAUCUGGAAAAAAUAAGCUUCUAUGUGGAUAAUCGAAUGUUUAUAAUAUAGAUUUAGUAAUUACCUUCCUUGUAUAUAUGGCUUCCUAAGCCAGAUAAAUACACCACUCUCCCCUGGAGAUUUGAUAGCUAAAGCUAUCAAAAUACAUAAUGAUAUUCCAACAAUUAUUCCAGACCCCUCCUGCCCUGCCAUCUGGUUUUCACUGCUUUCUUAACCAUAUCCACCUCUGAACUCCUGGCUUUAGAACCCUAGCCUCAAGUCUUACUUCUGCACCACUACUAUUGAUUUUGACCUCAUUCACAUUCCUGACUUGACUUACAACUCCAGCUCUCUCCAGCCCUUGACCUUCAGUGAGACUCUUCUUGCUUUACUAUUUGCCUCAAGAAACUAAAACUGGGGCCCCAAGAGCCACUAACUCCCUGGACUAGCCCUGUUUCCCUUGACAGAGAGUGAUUCUGACAGAUUAGAAAAACCAAACUUCUAUAUCAAAGGAAUUUGAAUUCUGAGUUAAUCUCUUGUAAUGAAUUUAUAAAGUAAUAAUCAAUGGAUUUAGUUCCAUUCCAGGCCUUUCUGUAUUCUUUACAUGAUAUACUAAUUAAUUAAAUAAAAUAAUGCAUUUAAAGUGCUUAGCUCGCUAUUGAGCACUUACUGUGAUUAUUAGUAUAUUACUGUAAACUGCCUUAGGAACAGAAGUAAUCAGGCUCAAUUGAUGGAUUUGAUCACAUUUUCCAAGUGUAUUAAAUAAGUCUGUUUUAAAAUUUUAAUUGCUAGUUACUUUUCACAAAGUUGAUCCUUUCUUUUUCCUGAAGGUACCACUAAAUUUUUCUUUUUAUGUAUUCAUUUAGCUUAUACUUAAUUGUAUUUUAAAAGAUUCUUUAAUAUUUGGAGUUUUAAAACUGCUCAAAUUCUUACUUUCAAGAGCCAUAAUAAAAUACUUACAUUUUAGUUUACUUAGUAGUAAACUAGUUAAUUUUAAAAUUUUUAUCUCAGAAGGAUAGUGAUGGGAACAUUAGCAGUUAUUCCAAUUUCACUUUAUCAAAUACCGUUUUACCAAGAAUCAGAUAACAAAUAAAUACUAAGUGAAAAAGACAAUAGGCAAAGUGCUAAAUGGAAAAUUGGGCAAUGUAUCUUUCAUUCAUUUAGAGACGUAAUUGAUGCCUAUGGCUUAGUAUAUUGGAAGUAUAGCCCAGUGAAGCAAGACUGGUGGGACUGUUGCAGGCAAUUAGGCAUGAGCAGGGCAGGAGAGGGCUCUCCCUGCCUCACCCACUAGAAAUGUCAGGUGAUGGUUUGGCAAUUAUCGCAUUGCCUCUCUAAAAGCUAUAAAUUGGCAGCCAAAGCCAGGGCCUUCCAUUUAUAUUUUCUCUUCGACUUUAACGUACACUCUUGGAUCUCUCCAAGUUAACUUCCCUUUCUUUUAAAUAAACUUCCCCUGCUGUUCUGUAAUUUGCUUCGAUCUCUUUCUUCUGAGGAGGCAAUAACUGAAGUUGCUGCAGACACAUAUGGAUUAGCCACUGGCAACUCGAGGUACCUUGGAUCUCUUCCACUCUUAACAUAUCAGUCAACUUGUUUUAUUUAAAAGACAGUAAACAUGCAAUAACUGCAGUGGUGAUUAAGAUAGAAAAGAUAUUUACUCUGAUGGAGUUUAUGGUUUAGUGGUGAGGGAAGGGGUAGAAAGCAUGCAAGUUAAAAAAAUGAACAAAAUAAUUUGAAAGAUUAAAUUACUUCCUAAUCCUCUAUCUUUCAAGCAUUAUUGGUGUAAGCGCAUAUGUGGGGGAUGGACAUGAAUCCCAUAUGACAAUUUUGUCAAAAUCUUCAGAUAACUGAGGAAAGGGAGCACCUUUCCUCAUCUUCAUUAUUUCUUUAUAUGAUUUGAAGCUGUUCAGGGUCUAAAUAAUGAUUCUUUUCAAAUUAAGAACAUGUUAUGAAAGUCAGUGAAAGGGCCCUGAGGUCUUCAAAACCUGGGAACAUCUUUCUUGGAGGACAAAACCUGGUGGGUUGUGCUCCAAGGUUUUCUCUCUACUGUGUAUGCAUCUGAAGAAGCCUUUCAUUAAUCUCAGACUACUACCCAGAAAUUUCAAACUUGACCUAACCCCAGAAAAUCACUUGGGUAACCUAAAGAAGCAUUUAACCUCCAGGGUUGGUUCAUGACUAGAGGAGAUCCCAUUCUUGAGUAUGUCCAGUAAGCGGUGGGAUUCCUUAAACUAUCCAAAGCCGAAUCCUUAUCUCUAAUUAGAAGAAGCUCAAGGGAACCCUAAGCUCCUCUCCUUCCUUAAAAGCACUGCACAGGUUAGAGGUAACCCAGCCUGGUGGCUGUGAUAUGAAUGUUGUAACUACCAUAUAACCAAUAGGUGUACCACAUUCCUGAUGUUUUCUGUUCCAGAUCAACAACUGAACCCCAAAGUGGAUAAUAAAAUAAAAUCCCAAAGUAUUUGGAAUAAAAUCUCUUCUCUUAUGCAUAUAAUUUUUUUUCCAAAUCUCAUAGGUAGGUAGCGUAUCAAGACGGAAUGAGACAGAAAACAUAGUAAUUUGAACAGGGAAUUUUACUAUAAAUAUUAUGAACAGAAUUAACUAGGGAGGACUAAGGAAUGCUAAAGAAUACUCCAGGGUGGAGGAAGAAUACUCAAUGAAGAAAUGAAUUUGGAAGCUCCUCUAAGUCUGGGGUUCAGACUUCAUUGGAAAAGAUAUUGUUAGUACCCUUUGGAUGGCAGAGAAGUUUACUGGGUUUCUCCAGGCCAGACUAAUUCACAAUUGCUGGGUAAUCAGGAAAUACUCCUCCAUAGUACAUCUGAGUUGAAGUAGGCAGACCCAAUUGCAGCUAGACCUGGCAAGUCAGAAAUACACUUCCGAAGUGCAGGUGGACUGAGACUGGUAGGCAGGGAAGUAGAGCUGGAAGUACAGCUGGAACUAACAAGAAGGAAUUGCCCCUCCAAGGUGCAGGUGGGCCACAGCUGUGAAGCUGACUGCAGCAGUGCUUACAAGACUCACUAGGAAUCCACAGAUGGAGGUAUGAAUGGAACUUGACAGGAAGCCAUCUACAGAAUUACCACAUAAACUUGAAGGGGAUGAGUACUACUAUGUGUGUCACUGGCAAACAGCAUGAGGAGCAAGAAGAAGCACCUAGAAUCACAGUGGCAUCCAAGAGAAAAGCCCCUUCUUCCUCACUGUUCCUCCAGUGCCCUCUACUGACCAAGUUUAACAUCAUGCCAACUACAAAGGAAAAAUGCUUAGAGGUUCCAUCUCCAUUAUUUAAAAGCAUGUAGUGAUGGGUGGAUUUGGAGCUGAAAGGCAAUAAAUUGAUAGUUGGCACAGAUCACCAGACUACGUCUUUGGCUACUCAGUUUCCACAUGCACCCUUCUAACACAUUUGAGUUUCCAUGCCACAAUAAAAUAACCCUAAAUUUCUACCUAACAAGAUUCAGCUAUUUUACUUACAAAUGAUGCAGUUCUUAUUCUUUCCCCAAAACGAGGAGAUACAUAGUCCCAGUAGUCAUUGUAUCCAUAGCCUACUGUAUUAGUUAUUCCUCAAGUUUUUCCAUAGCUCCACUGAAUAUGCUGUUACUUAAAGACUAAGUUGUAAAGUUAAUUUCCACCAACUAUACAUAAAAGUAGAAGGAAGAAAGAAAAAAAGAAUGUUAAUAUAUACAGACAUUAGAAACAAAAAGCAUUAUGCAAAAUACUAUAAUCCUUGUUUCUGUACUUGGUCAUUAGACUGUAGAGUUGACCCUUGAACAACAAAGAGGUUAAAGGUACCAACCCUCCAUGCAGUCAAAAAUCUACUCUUUUAACUUCCUCAAAGCUAUUAAUAGCCUACUGUUGACUAAAAUGCUUACCAAUAACAUUAACACAUCUUUAUGUUACAUGUAUUAUAUACUGCAUUCUCACAAUAAAGUAAGCUAGAGAAAAUAAAAUAUUAAUAAGAAAAUCAUAAGAAAGAGACAAUAUGUUUAAAUGAAAGUGAGUCAUCAUAAAGUCUUCAUACUUGUCAUCUUCACGUUGAGUAGGCUGAGGAAGAGGAAAAAUAGGAGGGGUUGGUCUUGCUGUCUCUGGGGUGGCAGAGGCAGAAGAAAAUCUAUGUACAAGUGCACUCACACAGUUCAAACCUGUUAUUCAAGGUUGACUUUAGUUGAUACCUAAGACUUCCUUUGUCCACUGGCCAUGUCAUAUUUGCUUUGCCCUUAGCCAGAACCUCAGCUGGUUGACCAUUCUUUGCCUGGUGGAAUAACCCAGAUGUUCAUUCCUGAAGUGUCUGAGUCCUCACAUACCCUGCCUUUGUUUGUUUGUUUUGUUUUUUAGUUGCUAUACUUUUCUGCUGACUUUUGCUAUUGAGCAUGAAAGAAUUAAAGACACCACAGAGAAUUGAUCAUAUUUCAAACAUGGUCCUCCUCACCUCUAUUGUUAACAGUAGCCCAGUUUCUCCUUGAUUAUUGGAAUUACCGUUUUAACCAGAAAAGUAGCUCUUCUUUUUCAAAAGAAAACUUCCAUGCUUCAUUCCCUUUAGUGACUAGCAUCCACAGACAAGCAGAAUGCAAAGUUGCUGGGACAGGAAGCAAAAACUCUGUGAGUAGGGUACUAUGUGAUAUUUUGAGAAGAACAUUGCCAGUCCUACUCUUUGAUUUCCAGACGGAUGCAUUCCGGCAAUAGAAAAGUCAAUCUUAUAUAAUGAACUCUGACUCAAAGCAUAUACUAAGCAUACCCUUGUAAAAUAGAACCCCAUUCCUGUAUUGUCUCUCAACUGAUACCAUACCUGACUGGUUUAGUAAGCCAUUCCACCUCUAAAUUGGUCUAGCCACUUCUGAGUGACAGGGGAUGUGGUAAAGUUAGUUAAAUGUAUCAGCAUAAGCCCAUUGUUACAUUUCUUUUGCUUUGAAAUGAGUUCCUUGAUCACACACGAUUAUAUGUAGAAUGCCAUGAAGAGGAUAAGUUAUUCUGUGAAUUCAAUGCUGGCAGAAGCGUUAAAGGCAGGAAAGGCAAAUCUGUAUCAAAUAUAUGUCUACUCCAAGAGACAAAUAUCUUCUCCCUUUAUGAUGGAAGACAUCCAAUGUAAUUAAUCCGCCACCACUUCCUGGUACUUCCAGGAAAUAAUGCUAUAUUGGGGGCUCAAUUCUUCUCUGCUGUUAGCAGAUUAGGCAAUCAGCAGUAGUGCAGCCAGAUCACCUUUUGUAAGUGCACACCAUGAUACUGAGCCCAUGUACACCUCCGUCACUGACAUCAUGGCCACUUUGCUCAUAGGCCCAUUGUACAAGCCGUGGGCUAACUGGGGAAAUCUAGCUGACUGACUACUAGAGAACAUGCCACCUUAUCCACCUGACACCCCUUGGCAGGCAUUAAUAUAGAAAAACAAAUAUUUUCACAGUUUGUGUCCAUUAAGAGGUCCAUUCACAUACUUUUUUUUUUUUUUUUUUUUUUUCUGAGACAGUCUUGCUCUGUCACCCAGGCUGGAGUGCAGUGGCACUAUCUUCACUCACUGCAACCUCUGCCUCCUGGGUUUAAGCAAUUCUCAGACCUUAGCUUCCUGAGUAGCUAAGAGUGCAGGCACAGACUACCACGCCUGGUUAAUUUUAGUAUUUUUCUUUAGUAGAGAUGGGGUUUGCUAUGUUGGCAAGGCUGGUCUUGAAUUCUUGGCCUCAAGUGAAUGACACUUCAUACUGAAUCCAACUACAAGACUCCCUAGAUUCAUUUAAUCCUAGCUGGCUCCCAGGCCUUGCCAACUUGCUCAGUGGAAUCCUACCAGUGGUCACUGUCACUUUUCACUUAAUAUUUACCACUCUCCCAAUCUUUCCCAUAGUGAUGUCUAGACUUAGACAUAAGUCUAUGACUCCUUCCAUGGAAGAAAUCACAGCAAAUUUACCAUCUCCUGUCCAACUACACAAUACCAUACUAUGGGAAGUAUGACCUGGAUUUGCCAAUAGAAUUCCAAGUGGCCAGGUUAUAUAACUCAGAAUUGCAAUGACAUUAGCAUCCAUGACAUAAAUGUUGACUAAGAGAGCUACAAGAGUCAAGUAUAAACUGGCAAAUAAAUCUAUUCAUUUCCUUCUGCUGCUGAUUAUUCCAAGGCACAGAGAUUCUAGACCUCAUCUCAGGAGACAUUCUUUAUCACUGAACAGCUGCCAUUUUUUGAGUAUGAUUCUAUAAACUAGUUAAAAAAUGAUUUUGUAUUUGUUUUCCUUUUUCCCUAUCUCACUUCCUUUCUUCCUUUUUAUUACUCUGGGAUUGUACUCCCCAAGAAAGCAUUAUUAACAUAUAUGCUUUGUCUCAAGCUCUGUACUGUAGGUAAUCAGGGCUGAUAUAUGUCAUAGGUAUUCUAGGCAAUUUUUUAAAAGGGAAAUUAUAAUGAUUCUUGUGUGUUGCUACCUGGUCCUCACUUAUUCUGUUUGUUAUAUUGGAUUUCCAUAAGUUGUACUUUAAAAUCUCAUUCUACAAUUUAUUGAAGUUUUAAGUUAUAGUGAUUUUUAAAUUGUAAGAUAAUCUCAACAGUGGUUCAGUGGAGGCAUGAAUGGAGGAAGAGAUUUACAGCAAAUCUAAAUUAAAUCACAUGGAUUAUCAUAGUUUACUUUUUUAAUUCUGAAAAUUUAUUUUAACAGGUAAAAUAAUAGGUCCCUAUGGCAUUUAACAAACAACUGCUCUUCACCAGCAUUCCCAAUAGUCUUACCCAGUGGCAUUUAUUGAAUAGUUAAAGACAAUGCUAAAAUUGUGCUUCUUUUGGCCAACAAAUGGAAAACCCAGAUGCCAAGGUGAAAAAGAUUUGUUCUUUGGUAGUAGCUACAGCAGCUGUCUAUUUGGCAUAUUCCUUAGAAAUCUUCAAAGUUGCCUAGGAUACAGACUUUGUAAACUGGGAUCCUGCAGAGCCUUUAAAAGAUUUUUUUGUUUAAUGCAAGACCUAUGUCGACAUUAAAUUAGCAAUAUAGCUUCUAAUCUACACAUAUACACAUAUCCAUUGACUUGCAGAUCUAUGAAAACAGGGCAUAUAAUGAAUAAUACAACUUGUGGGAUCAAAUAAACCGCACAUAUUUUGUCAUGACAAAGAAAAUAUGACCCACAUGCAGCUUGGAAGCUUUACUUUGGAAGUAAACAUUUGAGGAUCAUAUUCCUGAAAAGCUUUUCGGCAAUGCUUAGACCUAAGUUUCUGCAUUAAUCAAUAAUUAUACAAUUGCCCUCAGUAAUACUAAUUUAACAAUUUAGUUUAACAAGCAAGUAGAAAUCAGCGUAACACAAUCCUAGCCAUAAUAUGUUAUGAAACACUGUCAAAAUGAAGUAAAAGGUGAUAGGGUCAGUGUUUAAAUCAUUGAAUUCUAUACUUAAAAUGGAUGAAUUUUGUGGUGUGUAUUAUACCUCAAUAAUGCUUUUUAUAAAAAAUUUAAAAAUUACAGAUUAUUGUAAAGAAAACAGUAGCUAUAUGGGAGCAUGUACACACUCAAACAUAUGUGCACAUACCCUCUUCUGCAGGCUGAAAUUCCAACAUCUGUGUCUUAGCCACUUAAAAUCAUCUCUAGACACCUGACUCCACAUGCAUACCACUAUGUGAAUGAGCAGUUACGAGUGACUGGCUUCAGACUAUUGCUAAAUUUGCCAUCCUCGUAACUUGGUUGUAAUCACCAAAAACCUCAUGUUGUUAACUUCUAUAGCUGAUUAGAUGUCCCCCAGUAUACGGUAAAUUUUGGCCAUAAAUAAAAGACAGUUUUACAUUACUCAAUUUAGGCACCUGUGUCUCAACAUGUUAGAUAACUGGAAUACACUAGUAGCUGUUCCUUUCAUAAAGAAUGUUCAAUGUACUCCAAGAAAGGGGAAAUACUGAGGCAGACAGAUUGAUGGUAUUUUACACUGAAGAAAAGACCUUUGAAAGUUUGCCAGACUUUGAGAAAGGGUCAGCCAGAGCGCCCCCCUCCCCCACCCCACCGAAAAGGAGGCAGUGUUCCCAUCUUCCUGUCAAUAACACUUAGCAUGCUGAGUUGUUUUAUCAGACAGAUGGUGGACCAUGCACCAUUAUGACCAAUACAGUGUUGUCAGUUGUGCAAAGGGUCCCAUGAAUUGUUAAGCUCCUCUGCCACCUCAGAGAUGGCUCUGUUUGUGCCACCGUUUACAAUUUUGUUGUGUAAAUUCUCUGUUCCUAAUGUCAAGAAGGAUACAUUGUAAGGACACUUGGAUGUUAAAAUCAACUUUGAAGACUUUAAUUCAGUUUUAAUAGAUUUUUGACUUAUCAAAAGCCUACUAAUGUUACUGUUAGUAAUGAUACAAUUAAGAUUUUAAUUAAAUCAUAAGAUUUUUUCAAAUUAAAAAUUCUCAAAUCUAUCUUAGCAUUUCAAUUGAUACAUACUUUCUUCUGAAUUUAAAAAUCAAUUUGAAAACGAAUUUAGAUAUUCUAAACCUGAAGGGGGAUAUCUUUUUUUCUACAAAAUGCAUUUUGCAAAUUCUUCAAAUUGAAAUAAGAGGUCCUUUCAAAUUUAAGAGGGGGUUUAUUGUUUUU